UUUUUUUUUUUUGCCUUUAUAGCGUUCCAAAACGGUGUUGUUUUGGGUUUCAUUUCCAGAUGCCAAAACAGCGUCGUUUUAGGCUUCGACCCGAUCUGACCUAGCAGGAUUCGCGUGUUUUUUAGAUGGGGUCUAAUUGUCGCUUUGGUCCUUCCACUUUUUACUUGUUUUUCAAUCCAGUCCUAUUUCAUUUUUUCUUUUUUUUUAAAAUUUUACCAUUUAAUUUUGGUUUUGUUUCAUUUUAGUCCCGUAUGGAACGAUGCGUUUUGGGAUAGGGAAUAUUUUCCCAUUUGGUCCCUAUCUUUUUUCGCGUGUUACAAUUUAGUCCUUUAUUUUAUUUUUUUCUCGAUUUCUCCCCUAAAAUUUUGCUUAAGUUUCAAUUUAAUCUUUCUUAUAUUUAUGCACUUAUUUUGUUAUAAUUUAGACUUUUAAUUUCAUUUCGAUGUCAAUUUAAUCCUUAUUUAUUUAAUUUCGACCCUGCCUAGGUUAUUUAAUUUUAUAUAUUAUUUUUUAUUUUAUUUAUUUACUUAUUAUUUCCUUUUUAUUUAAAAUUGGUUUGUUUUUGUAUUUAUUGUGCAUUUUUAUUUUUUUUAUUUUUUAUCUCUUUUUUCUUUUGCCUUUAUUAUCGUUAUUAUUUAUUAAUUUCUUAUAUAUUUUCAAAAUUAGAUUAUUUACGUUUUACUUGCACAUUUAUUGUUCGUGUUAUUAUUAUUAUACGUUCAUAUUUUAUUAUGCGUAUUAUUAUUAUGCUAUUAUUACUACAAAUUGGUAUCGCACUGUCAUUUAUUGGCAUAACAUUUUUUUUUCCGUAUACCACAAUUUUUUUAUAUAUACUUCCAUUUAAUUUUAUCAUGGAUGCAAUCAUGUCACGAACCUUAUUCAAAUACAUUUACCCAUUUUCAUACCACGCCUGAAUAAAUUAAAUGCAUAUAAGCUUACGUGUUAUGAUCAUUUUUUUCAACGAUAUGCAUAAAAAAGGAAAUUUUUUUAAACCGAGGCAAAAUGUUCUUUAUUUUGGAAUUAGAAAAGUCAUGUUCCUAACUUACGAAAUAUGGCUUCCUUCUAAAACUGAGAUAAUCGAAUAUUUACUUUAAAAUAAACUAGAUUUAAGCAAUGAUCAAUCGAUGUUUAUUCUUGUUCUCGAGGAUUUAAGGCAUUGUUUCAUAACUUACAGGAUAUGAUCCUUUCUUCUCGAUUAACUUGAAAUAAGCCCUUUUCGUGAAAAUUAAUUUAGUUAAGUGAUGUCUUAAUAAGGGAUCGUAUUUUAAAUUCUCUUCAAAUUUUCAAUUCUAGACACUAAGACAUCAAUUAAUCAACGAGGUACCAAUUUUGGGCGCUAUGAGGGUGCUAAUCCUUCCUCAUAUGUAACCGACUCCCGAACCCAUUUUCUGAAUUUUGUAGACCAAAAAACACCGUUUUAGUAAAUCAAGCCUCUUAUUAAAAUGAUCAAAUUACGAGGUGAUCCGAUCACAUCUCAUGAAAGUGAUUGGUGGCGACUCUUGUUUUCGUUUUUUAAAAUAAAAAGUCGUUGACAAAAAAAUGGUUUCAACACCAGAGUAUUAAUUUUUUUUCCAAAACAAAAUCUUGGUUGUAAUAUAUAAAGUAAUAAACACUUAAUCAAAAUUGUACCUUUUCGAUUCGUCUAGGAUGAGUGCUUCAACUGAUAGUCUUCUCUGCUAUCCUCAAGCUCAUGUCUGUCGAGUGUGGGCUCACUCCGAAUUAGAAAAUUUUUCACAAAAAUUACCAUUGGGGUAAUUUUGUAAUUUCUUUAAACUUUUGGUUCAAGCUGUAAGUUAGAAAAAUGUCUCUAGAAAUUUUCUAGAAUAAUCUCUUCAAGGAAUUUUCUAUCUACAACUUUCUCUUGAAUUCAAAUGUGUGUAAAUAACAACCCAAUACUCUCUUUAUAUAGGGAGAGUUUAUAGAGUUCAACUAUUAUUUAACUUAAUCACUUUAAUAUUAAUACUUAUCUUAACAGUAUUUUAUUGAUUUAAUAUUAAAGUGAUUAUCUUAAUAUUAAAUUUAAUUUAAUGUUUAUCUUGUAGUUAAAUAUUCUAUUAUUUUAAUAAGAUUUAAUAUUAAAUUUAAUAGUAUCCUACCCCUAUAACGGCAAAAACAUGAAAAUCCACAGAAAUUUCUUGGCUCUAGAUGACUAGUGGUACCUUACGACUUAGAGUUCUGCUCGACAUUUACUUUACAACAUGUCACGACGACUCAUGACGAGCUGGGCAGCACCACUUUCUGAUUUGGUGGCCUAGUGCGCCAUAUGAGUGUCUCUGAGUUUGACAUUGCUUUUGGACUACACAUUGAAGAGUUUAUGAGUGUCGAGAACUUCCUCCACCUAUAUCGACACAUCCACUACUCGCCAUCUAGUUGUUGGGUAGAUCUUGCAGCGAGUACGACACCUUAUAACGUGAGUCGCUCGAAGAUGACUUCUCUCCCUCCGCCUUUACGGUAUAUUCAUGUCUUUUUAUCUCAUACUUUGACCGGUAGGAGAGAGAGCACCGAAGUCGUCAAUACUACUGAUGCCUAUUUUCUAUGGAGCAUGACCACCAGACAUUUUUUUUUAUUUAGCAUACUUCAUCGCCCUAGCCUUCUGCCAUUAGAUAGACCGCAAUAGGAAGGGUCCUAUUUGUUUAGGUUCUUAUGUGACUCGACUCGCUCGACACUUCGGUCUCCUCGACAUACCGGAACAGUCUUCUAACUUACACUCACUAGCUAGAUAUCCCCAUAGGAAAUAUCGAGCAUGACCCAUAUGAGGGAUGAUCGAGCGGUUUCAUGGAGUAGAUCCUCCUCGGCACCGAUUAUUUCAUUCUGACUCUCAGAAUGAACCCGAAGACUUUACUGAUGGAAUGAACUCGAGGACUUCACUGAUGAUGCCCCUUUCCAUCACGAGGACCCACCUCCUUCUCCACCUUCGAGUCACCGUCGUGUUUCUUUUGCAGCUAUUUUGGAGGACCUCUCCUAGCGGUUCACUCGCUUCGAGUAGAAUUUCUUUCAGAGGUUUGACAGUAUUGAUGCAACAUUGCAGUAGAUCUGUCAUCAUCUCUAUACCUCCUCCUCAACGCUGACGACUCACGACACUGACACUUCUAAUGAUGAGGACCAUUAUGUUUAUUUGUUUUAUUUUUGUUUUUGUUUUUAUGUUUAUUGUUAUUUUCUUAGACUUAUUUUGUUUUUAUCUUUUGAACUAUAUUUCUAUAUUUUUAUGGUUGUUUCUACUCGAGUUAUAACCCCUUAAUCUUCACUAUUUGUGUUUAUUUUCUUAUUAAUUUGCUCAGAAUCAUGCACUAUAUCUAGAUUUGUCUACAAUUUCGUUUUUCACCAUUCUGGCAAUUUCAUCCAAUAUUCAGGGCAAUUUCAGUUUUCUCCCUUUCUUAUGAUAUUAUGUUUAUAUUGUGAUUAUAUAUGUUUGUGUAUUGAGGACAAUGUAUAUCUUAAAUGUGGGGAGGUUAUUUAUAUAAUUAUUAGAAAAUCCCUAAAUUAUGUCUUGUGUUUAAGUAAUUUUCUCAUACUUCUAUUAGAAUGAAUUUUUAUCAAUUUGUGAUUUUUAUUGAUAUGUUUUGGAUUAAAUUCAUAGAUAUUUAUGCAUUGAUUGUUUUAAACUUUAAGACAUGAGAGAAUCAAGCAUGGUAAGUUAUUUUUCAAUAAUUAAAAUUUGCAAGAUUUUAAUUGAAGUGCUACCUUGAAGUUUGAAAUUUGCAAGAUUGACAUCAAAAAUCAUGAAUUUUUGUGAGAUUUUGAGCCUUUAGAGCAUGCAUUUUUCUUGCUCAUUUAUUAUUGGUUAUGACUGUGUCAAUUUGAUUUGUUAUUUUAGAACUUUCUUCGAUUAUACAUGUCAAGACCACACCUUUUGAUUUGAUAUACUGAGAUGAUAAAGGUACUUAGGUUUUAACCCACUUAUCCCAUAAAAAGUCUACCUACAUAAUUAACCCUUUGUGAACCCCGUUGAGCCUAACACACCGUUUCUUGAUUUACCCAUUAAUGUUAAUCCAUAACUCAUUUUUUGCUCGUUGAGAAUUUUUCCCGUUUUAUUGACCCCCUUUUUAUCGAGAUUUGAUUUGGUUAAUUGCCUAAUUAAGCUCUUCUAUUUAAUUUGUUGAAUUAUUUCUUAUUGUAAAAAAAAAAGAGAAGAAAGUAGAAGAAAUAUAUAUUGAUUGUUAUUAGUUCUAUGUUAAUUGAGCUUGAACAGUUAAAUUUAUUUUUUGAGAAGAAGCUAGUUUUAUUCUUGAACAGUUUUCGAUUGAUGUAAUUGUUUUUAAUUCAGCAUUUGUUUAUUUUUCUAGUUUGAUAAUUUAUCAAUUCAAUCUCGAUUUUAACCAAUUUUUUCAGUCUUUCUCCACACCUUUAACCUAAGCCCUUACAACCUCUUAAAGACCUUUUGAUUUGUGUAUCAUCUCAUUUUAUAGAGGUGGAGAUUUGAUUUUCAUGCAAACCUAUGGUAAUGACUUUUCAUGUUUGACUAUUUAGUGCUUAUUCUUGAACCUUAAACACUUUUGAGUGAUUUGAGUGAUUCUUUAGUGAGGAUGUCGAUUCUUGUCGAUUUUGAAUUAAAGGUAAUGACUUAGAUAAGGGGAAAUACCUAUGUUUUUAUGCUUUAAAAAUUUUCGACUUGAAUUUUUUGAAUCUUUAGUGCUAUUUUAGUUGAAUUAUCAAUGUAUGAUUAUUUGUGAAUUAUGAUGAAACACCAUUAAUGAGAAUUAUAGGUUGAGAAAGAUUAAUUUUAAUUGUGAGUUGAGGAUUUUGCUUGAAAACAAGCAAACGCUUAAGUGUGGGGAUAUUUGAUAAGCCAUAAAAGUAACAUAUUUUUAAUCUCAUUCUUAAUGCAUUUUUGGAUGAUUAAUUAUGUAAAUUAGUGAAUUUGAUGCUCCUAAUCCUUUAAGUUCAUGUUUUUAUACUUAGGAGAGCAUUUAGAAGCAAAAUGAGCGAAAAAUGAGUCAAAAUCAGACAAAUAGAGUUGUUUCCAAGAUCCACACGGCUUGGGCAUUUCCACACGGGCUGGCCACACGCCCGUGUGAGCCACACGAGCUGGCCACACACCCAUGUGCCAACCCGUAUCGAUAUAGCACCCUGCUUUCCAAAUAUGCGGAAAAAACCAAUUUUUAGGCUUUCUAAGCAUUCUAAAGUCUAUAAAUACCAAUUAGAAGAAGACCUAGGGGGCACGGAGAGAAGAUCGAAGAAAAGACUCGAAAAAUGUCAUCGGAAUCAACUUGGAAGUGGAUCUCCUUUAAGGUUGAAGAUCUCCAUUUAAUUUCCUUUGAAGUUUUAUUGAGUUUUUUUUAUGUCUUGUUGUUAUCCUAACUUUUAGAUGUUUCUAUUCAGGAUUAUGAACUAAAUUCCCUAGAUACCUAGGGACCUAUGAUGAAUCUUAUUAUUUAAUUUCUGUUUUUACACGAUAAAUACUUGAUUCUUGUUCUCAAUUAUGUAUGCUUAUUUCGUGUUUUAAUAUUUUUAGGAUAUUAAUUCAUGUUUAAUGUGCUUAUUUUAGUGGAGCAAAAGUCCCUAUUUAAGAGUAGAUCUAACAUAAUUAAGUGGAGUUGCAUAUUCUAGAAAUAGGACGAUAUAAAUCUACCGGAUUAGAAUCAAAUCUAAUAGGGGAAUCCAUAGAUUGAGUUAAUGCGAUGAUAGGGGUUUUAAUUAGAAAGAUAUUUCAAUUAAUCAACCUAGAGUCAGUUGUUCUUACUCUCGAAAGAGAUAUUAACGUAAUUUAGGGAUUUCUACGGAUCAAGACACAAGUGAAUAAAUCGUUUAAUUUAGAUUCAGAAUAAUAGGUGAAGUCUAGGUGAAGUAUUUCUUGGGUAUUGUCUUUCGCAUUGGUUGUCGUCGAUUAUUUUCCCAUUUCAUUCUCUGUUGCGUUCGUAGUUAAAUUAGAUUAGUAAAUUUAGAUUAAAAACAAUCACUUCAAUUUAUCAGCUAAAUAAUAGAAAAAUGGUAAUUACUAGUACUUUUAGUCCUUGUGGAUACAAUAUUCCCUACUCACCAUAGCUAUACUAUUGUUUGAUAGGUACGCUUGCCUUUGUCAUAAUUAUAGUUAAUUUAGUGACCAUCAGAAUUUAACAGUUUCUAGAAGGGAUGUUGAUAGAAAGAAGGAAAGUAGAUGAUGGAAUUUCUAUUCAGUAAACAAUUCCCAGUACAUUUCAGAGAAUUAGGUGAGAAGGAACAAGUUUUCUAUUAACAAUAAUCACUUUUCAAUCAUAUUCCCUCUGCUCUUUUUAUAGUACUCUUCCAGCCGUUACGCUCUUGUUGACGUGGGCUACAUGACAAAAUCCUUGAAUUUUAGAGGAGGCCUUCUUUGACGCGUGGUCAUGACAGUUUUGGCUGGAGGUUCGACUUGGUUUCCUAGUUUGGUGGCCUCUGGUUCAUUCAUGACACAAAGUGAUAUUGUUAUUCGUUGGAGACGAUUAGGUGAAUUCCAAAUCUGUUGGUUGUGGUGAAAGUAAUGGGUGUCAACUGUCAAGGGAGCAUUCACAAUCAUCCGUUCCGUGGUUCAAAUUGGUAUAAAGCUCCCAUAAAGUAUAUUCGAGAAUGACUCUAGCAAGGUGGAGUUCUUGUUUAAUAUAUGCCAAACUUGUAUGUACAAUUAUUAUCUUACCACCUUGUCCACUAUCCCCAAGGGUGUUGUAACUUGGAAGCCAAUGCCGGUGUGGCUACAGCGUCUGAUUUACAUACCCACUCUUUCUUUUAAAAAGAAUAUGUUAGUUGCAUACAAAUAAUAAUUUCUUGUGUAUUUUUGUUUUUGAGAAUUUAUAUAGACAUUAUACUUAAUAUAUAUAUAUAAAUUUACAUAGUCUUAUGCCACAUUUCUUAAAAAACUUAAUUAAUUAAAAUUAUUUUUAGGGGGUUUUUUAAACAUCUUUUAGACCCAUAUGGUGCGGCCGAAUUGCAAGCCGAAGUUGUUGGGCGACUUCCCUAAACAAAUAUGAGUGAAACAGAAAACACAUGACGGAUGCAACAUUAACGCCCUGUCUCCCUCUGUUCCUAUAAGCUUUCAGUUCCAGUUGUUGGGUUGGGUGUUUUAUUGGCGUCGGUUCUAAGGUUUAGGGUUGUCCAUUUCCAUCGUGCUUCGUGCUCUGCUUUGUCUUGUCGGCUUACUUCCAAUUUGGAUUUGCCAAAACAAAAUUUUAUCUUAUCCCUAAACAACUAAAAAUAUCUGUAUUAGCUAUAAAUGCGUAUACUAUUUUUUUUUUUUUGGAAUAAUGAUGCGUUUACUAAUUGCUUCAACCAAGAACUAUGGAUAUGCCUGGUUUAAUAUUAUACAAAAAUUCGUUAAUUUCUUUUAAUAGACGAAAUCGGAAACCAUCAAACAACUAAAAAACUCUUUUUACUUUAUUUGUUAACUUAUAAAAAUAAUAUAAAAAAUAAAUUACAUUUAAAAAUGAGAUGAUUUGGAGAUUAAACACAACAAUGGUAUGAAAUUUAUAGUUAAAGACGGUAUCUCAUAUAUGUCAGCCCACAUCGCCUAAAAAAUUUACUCCAUGAUUAUCAAAUAAUUAUACCAGAAAUAAUAAAGGAAACCACUUUUAAGCUGGUGUUGCAUACUUAUCAUGCGACCCCGAUUAAAUAAUUAGAAUUUCAUUUUUUUAGAGAGGUAUACGUAAAGGUGAGUAUUCGAUCGAAUCGAAUAAAAAAAUUUCGAGUUAAUCGAGUUGACGAAUCCUAUUUAUCAUCUUAACUCUAUUUAAAAUUUUCUCGAAUCGAGUCGAGUGAGAUGGAAUUCGAAUCGAAUCGAGUCGAAUAUAUUUGUUCGAGUUAAAUUAAAAAAAAUGAUUUUGAGUUCUUGUAAUCAGUCACCCAACGUAAUCAAUUUUUUUAUUAACUUUCAUCCCCUCAUAAUUUAUUUAUUAAUAUUUUAUAUACGGGUUAGCUUCUUUGCUUGUUUAGUUUCUUAAAUUAUCUUCUGAUUUUUGUCACUAUGUAUUUUGAAAUUAGAAAAUAUAUUAAAUAUAAAAAAUGUGAUUUUUUAAUUAAAAUUUAUCUUAAAGAUAAAAUAUGAAAUUGAUACCAACAUAAAAUUUUAACAUGAAUAUUUAUAGCAUCAUCAAUAAUUCAAUUUGGACAAAAAUUUACAAAGAUUCAAUAUGAUUAAACAAUUCAAUAAUAUAAAAAGUACAAAAUGUGAAAUUUAAUUUAAUAAUAUAAAUUUAGACAUAAAUAAAAUUAUAACUAUUUAGGUUUAGAAAUUUUUUUUGGAUGAUUUUAAUUUUUGAUUUGGGGGUAAAAGAUGAGAAGUAAAUGUUUUGGGGGAAAAUAAAAAAUUUUGGGGGUUGAGGGAGUAAAAUUUGGGGGGAGGGGUAUUAAAAAAAAUUGGGGAGGGGGGGGAAGGGUUUGGGGUAGAAGGGAGGUGGGAUGGGAGGGGAGUAAAAGUUUUGGGAGAAAAUAUUCAAAAACAAAAAGGGGGGGGGGGAAUGGGUUUGAGGUAGAAGGGGGGCGGAAUGGAAGAGAAUAAAAGUUUUUGGGGGGAAAUUGGGAGGGAGUGAAAAUUUCGGGGGAAAGUAAAUAGGUUUGGGAGUUUGGGGUAAAAAUGUAAAAUAUAAUAGUUUAAUAUUCGGUUUUUUUGAAUUAUUCGAGUUAUUCAGAUUCGAAAAUUAAACUCGAUUCGAACUCAAAAUUAAAAAAAAAACCGAGUUGACUUGAAUAAUUCGAAAAACUUGUUUCGUUUAACUUGAAAUUCAAUUUUUUUCGAUUUUUUCGAAUUGAAUCGAAUUUUGCUCACCCAAACUGUUAAAAAUUCGGGGGGAAAAGGAAAAUGAAACAAAAUUUAAAAGGGUGUCACCCUAAGCUACUCUUCCAACCCCCACUUAAUUCCCUCUUUUCAAUUUCACUUAUAAAAAUUCCAUAUUUCCAUUCAAACCAAGACAUUAUAUAAGUUUAAAGAUCCCACUUAAUUAGUGAAAAUUUUCUUAUUCUCAGAGAUAUUUCAUAAAGUGAAAGGUUGGGGAAAGAAAGAAAAAAUUAAAAACUUUCAAAACCGUUUUAAAAACCCAAGAUCAAACAUAUAUUGUUUUCAUCUUUCAAUUUGAGUUGAUUAGUAAUUGAAGUAAUUUUGCUUGUAAUUAAUUUCAUUAAAUUAUUGAUAUUUUUAUUAAAUUUGUUUCUUAAUUAUAUAUAUAUAUAUAUAUAUGUUUUGUAUUGUUAUAUAUUAUCCAUGCAAGUAUUUGAUAUUUAUAUUUUAAAGGCUAAAAUGUUACUAUUAUAUUGUUUUAUUUGUUUAUUACAUCUUUAUGUAAGGUAGUAUUACAUUAGUUGUUGGUUGAAAUUUUUAUAUUUUAUGUUUGUCAUGAUUUGGAAUUAUGGAUAUAAUAUGUGAUUUAUAGUAAGGUUUUAAUUUCUUUUGGGUAUAAAUUAUUUUAAUUGUAAUUAAUACUUACUUUUUAUUUUACAAAUUUAGUAUAGAAUAUCAGUAGUUAAUUCUUCAUAUAGGAACAAGGUAGCUAUUUCAUAUAAACAAACCUAUUAAUUAUUAUUUCAUUUAUAAUAUAAUCUUAAUUAAAAUGAUUAAAUUUCAUGUGAAAAAUUAUUAAUUAUAUUUUAUUAAAUGAAAAAAAUUUUCAAUGAGUGAAAUUAAAUAUAUCAAUUCAACAAACUAGUAAUUUCCCUAAUUAAAUAUUCUACAAUGAAUUUGAAUAAUCAUAAACUUAUAAAUUGAUUAUUUGAAUUUAGUAACUCAUGAUAAAUUAAUUAAUUUAAUUGGUAAAUCAUUGAUUUAGUCGAAACCAUUUUUUUUAAAGGGGUCGACUUUUAUUUUGAAAAUAAAAUCAACAAAAAAAGAGAGGGAGUCACCACCGAUAUUUUUGAGGUGUGAUCGGAUCACCUUGCAAUUCAAUCGUUUUAAUAAAACGUUUCGAUUUUAUUAAAACAAUAAUUUUGGUCUACUAAAUUCGAGAAAAACGGAUUCGGGAGUCGGUUACAUGUGAGGAAGGAUUAGCACCCUCGUCACGUCCAAAAUUGGUACCUAAUUGAUUAAUUAAUGUCUUAAUAUCGAAAGUUAAAAAUUUUGAUGAGACUUAAAACACGAUCUUGUUAAAAUUAUCUAAAAGAAUUUAGAAGGGGCAUAUUUUACGUCAAUCGAGAGAAAGAAUUAUACCCCGUGAGUUAGGAUAUAAUCUUAAAUCCUGAAACGAGAAUAAACACCAAAAAUUUUAUUUAUUCUUAGAAAUUUUUGAUUAUCUCGGUUUUAGAAAAGAAAUCAUAUUCCGUAAGUUGGAAAACGAUUUUUUUAAUUCCCGAGAUAAUUUUAAAAAUGUGUUUUUGAAAAAUGGUUCGUAUAUUUGGAUUUACAGGAAAAAAUUGAAACCCCGUAAGUUAGGGAAUGACUUUUCGAAUUCCAAAAUAUGAAAAAUUGCUUAUUUUCUGAUUUUUAUAUUUUUUACAAUUUUGGUAAAAAUGUGUAAUAUUUAAAAUAAUACAUGAAUAAAAUGUUGCAUUAAUAAAUAACAAUGAUGAAUAUAAUAAAGAUAAUCUAUGAGAAUCCUAUAAUGUGCACCACUUUAACAUUAAUAAGAACAAUAAAUAAAAUAAACAAUAAUAAUGGCAAUAACAACAACGUAUGGACAUAAAGAACAAUGCCCACUUAAAAAAACAAAAAAACAAAUAAAAUAAAUAAUUUAGGGGAAAAUAGUUCAUAAAAAAUAUUGAAAGUAAAGAACCGAAUUAAAACAUAAACGAAAUUUAAAGACACAAUUUAAAAUAAUAUAUGUAAAUAAAUGAAAUAGUAAAAAACCAUGACAAUAAUAAUAAUAACAAUGAAAGUCAAGAAUAAAAUAAAAUAAAAUAAAAGCAUCAUUAAAUACAAAAAAAAUCAAAAUAAAAAUGAUAAGCAAAUAAAUAAAAUAAAUAAGACACAAAAAAACCUAGACAGAGAUAAAAGGGGAUUAAAUUGUCAUUGAAAUAAAAUUAAGAGUCCAAAUCCUAAUAAAAUAAGUUUAUGAAUAUAAGAGGGAUUAAGAUUAUAAUAAAAUAAACACAAAAGUACUAAAUUGAAGUUAAAUCGAAAAUCUGGGUAAAAAUUGAGAGUGAAAAUAAGGUAGAGGGCCCAUUUGAAAGGCGUGAAUAACUUAGAGGGACAAACUGGGAAAAUAUCCCUGCCCUCUGAAACACGCUAUUUUGCUAGGACCAAAUUGAAAGUGAAAUAAAAUUUUAAGAUAAAUUGGAAAAAUAAAAAGGACUGGAUUAAAACAAUUGAAAAAAGUAAAAGGGCUAAAUGCGCAAAUAGACCCUUUCACAAAGCGAGUCGGGUCAAUGCGAAGGUUAAAGGAUGAAACGACAUUGUUUUAGCCACUGGGAUUAAGGCCCAAAACGGAGCCGUUUCAAAUCUCUAUAUAAACCAAUUUUUUAAAAAAAAAAUCAUUUCUCCCAUUUUCUAAAAAAAAUCAGAAAAACACUCUCCCCCUCUCUCUCAACUCCCCUCUCCGGCCAUGGCUCCGGCCAUCGAACCGCUGUGGUGACCACUAGUUACCGGCGACGGCGCUACCGUCCAUAGUGGCCGAAAAGUCAAAAAAUGCCAUUUUUUGGCUUUUCGACUCCUCGACCCCAAAAAAGCGUUGUUUUUCAUCGGAAACGACGAACCUCGGCCACGGCGGUGCAAAACCCGAAACAAAAAGGUAUGUUUUCUUCUUUAUUUUCUUCUCUUUUAAAAAAAUGAAAUCAAACAAAAACAAAAAUGAAAAAUAAGUAGAGACCGAGACUAUCUCUGAAAAUUUUACUGCUUUGAAUUGGGUUUUUUUUGUAUUAAUUGUAUCGUAAAAAAGUUACAUCACUGUUUGUGGCUUUUUAUAGGCCUCAAAAAAGAAAAAUACAAUAUUUUCUAUUAUUUCCCUUUGCCUCCAUGUCUGUCCUUCUUUUUGUCUUGUCUGCAGGUCCUAAGCGCGUGGAGGAUCGCAUACGACGGUGGCAGCGGGGGGCUAGGUGCGGCGGCAGCAAGCUAGGGUUUCAUUUUUGUUUCCUAAAAACAUUGUGGGCUAGGGUUAGGUUUUAGGCUGUUGGGCUUGAAUUGGGUCAGUAAAUGGACUUUUUUUCUGGGUUUUAUUUUUUGUAUGGUCUUGGGCCCGGGCGAAAUUGACCUAUUACAGCUACCCCUCUUUGCUCAUUGUCGUGUAACGAGAAUGGAGCAAAGAUUUUAAUGAGGCCAAUUUUGCCUGGUCUUGCCGAAUCUUGACUUUAUGGUGCUUAUUUCUUUCAAGUAGCCUCAUUCCAUUUCACCGCAUCUUUAGGGGUAUAGGAAUUCGUGUUUCGAUCCGCUCUAAUGUAAUUUUAGGGAGAACAGACUUGUAGCUUCGAUCUACUCCGCUACAACUUCAAGGAGAUAAGAAUUGGUAAUUUCAACCUGCUCCACUGCAAUUUCAGGGAGAUAAGGUUUGUAUUUUUUAUCUUGCUCCACUGCAACUUCAGGGAGAUAAGGAUUGUGGCUUCGAUCUACUCCAAUGUAAUUUUAGGGAGAAGAGAUUUGUAGCUUCAAUCUAUUUCGCUAGAACUUCAAGGAGAUAAGAAUUGGUAACUUCAACCUGCUCCACUGCAACUUCAUGGAGAUAAGGUUUGUGUAUUUUUAUCCUGCUCCACUACAACUUCAGGGAGGUAAGGAUUGUGGCUUCGAUCUGCUCCAAUAUAAUUUCAGGGAGAAGAGAUUUGUAGCUUCAAUCUACUCCGCUGCAACUUCAAGGAGAUAAGAAUUGGUAACUUCAACCUACUCCACUGCAACUUCAGGGAGAUAAGGUUUGUGUAUUUUUAUCCUGCUCCACUGCAACUUCAGGGAGAUAAGGAUUGUGGCUUCGAUCUGCUCCAAUGUAAUUUCAGGGAGAAGAGAUUUGCAGCUUCGAUCUACUCCUCUGGAACUUCAAGGAGAUAAGAAUUGGUAACUUCAACCUGCUCCACUGCAACUUCAAGGAGAUAAGGUUUGUGUAUUUUUAUCCUGCUCCACUACAACUUCAGGGAGAUAAGGAUUGUGGCUUCGAUCUUCUCCAAUGUAAUUUUAGGGAGAAGAGAUUUGAAGCUUCGAUUUACUCUACUGGAACUUCAAGGAGAUAAGAAUUGGUAAGUUCAACCUGCUCUACUGUAACUUCAGGGAGAUAAGGUUUGUGUAUUUUUAUCCUGCUCCACUACAACCUCAGGGAGAUAAGGAUUAUGGCUUCGAUCUGCUCCAAUGUAAUUUCAAGGAGAUGAGAUUUGUAGCUUCGAUCUACUUCGCUGGAACUUCAAGGAGAUAAGAAUUGGUAACUUCAACCUGCUCCACUACAACUUCAGGGAGAUAAGGUUUGUGUAUUUUUAUCCUGCUCCACUACAACUUCAGGGAGAUAAGGAUUGUGGCUUCACCGAUCUGUUCUCUGGGGAACAUGACCUAUAGAGUCCAUUUCAUGGACCUAUUUAUGCCUAGUGAUUAGGAUGUUAUUAUUAGAAUGAAUCAAAUGUUCCUAACUACAUGCGUAUGAAUGAUAUUUGCAUGAAUGCAGCAUGUCAUUUUUCGAGGAUGAUCCUCUUUUAAUGCUUGGGUUGACAUUACUCGUUGUUUGUCAAUGUUUUAUCACUGACGCAUGACCCUACCUUUUUGUUUAGCUGGUAUCUUUGACAGAAAAUUCGAAGAAAUAGUCACAGUUUAGGCUAUUCUUUCAAAAAUGUUUCCAACCCUUAGGUUUGGAGCGUUCUAAAUAAUAGUCCUGUUUCAGGUUCUUGUACUAUUUAGAAGCUUUCGGGGUAAUAUGCAAAACUCCUUUUGCUUGAAUAUUAUCAGUCCAUUAAUCGUUAUUUCAAUGAAAGAUGCUUGAAAAAGAUUAUCACGAUGGACAAGAUGGAAUUUUAUUGAGAGUAAAGCUCGAAAUGAAUAAAUUAAUCAAGAUAGCAAUUUUUGCUGAGAUACGAAAUGAAUAAUAUGAAAAUAGGUGCUCCAGAUAUCGUAGCAUGAGCUUCUCCGCACAAAACUUCUCGAGGACCCUUUGAACUUGAUACGUGUUUAGAAGUCCUAGAAGGCUUUGUUGAUGCCCCAAGAUGUAGCAUCCCUCCUUCUUAUAAAUUCGGAGAGGACAAGACUACCACAUGCUCCACCUCUGAUAAAAAAAUUGAAUUGCCCAUUCUUGGGUUUUCAACUCAAAACCCCUUUGGUCUCAAGAUGCCCUUUGCGGGUUUUCACCUUGGCCUCUCUUUUUUCUUUUUCUUUUAUUUUCUUUUUUCUUUUCAUUUUUUUAAAGUGAAGUAUUUCUUGUUUGAAUCAGAAUUCACAUGAUUAGGCAGGUUCUUGCCAUCCAUCUUGGUCAAUAUCGACGCUUUUCUAGAUAAGGCCUUCAACAUAAGGUCCUUCUCAGUUUGACAUCCACUUUCUUCUGAAGCUUUUUUGAAUGGGAAGGAUCUUCUUCAAUACCAGGUCCCCUUCAUGGAAUUCUCUAGGGCGAACCUUUUUGGUGAGCUCGCAUCAUUUACUUUUGGUACAUUUGACCAUGACGUAUAACUUUGAAACUUUCUCUUCAAUCGGGAUUGGAUCCAAAAAAACUCAGAGAGAAGGAAUCUUGACUUUAAUGGGCAAAACCGCGAUAAGCCAAAGAGAAAGGCAUUGCCCCAGUAGAGGUUUUUAUUUUUUUAUUUUUUUGCCUCCACUGUACCGUUCAUUUUGGGACGACAUGGUGUUAAUCUUGAACAGACUGCAAACUUCUUAUAUCAUGCUGUUGUUCAAAUUUAGUGCAUUGUCAGAUAUGAUCCUAUUUGGCAUUCAAUACCGACAUAUGAUUUCUCUUUUUUUUAAGAAUUUGCUAACUGUCGGUCUGGUGACAUUGGCAAAUGUAGCAGCUUCCACCCACUUAGUGAAGUAAUCGACGACUAUAAAGAUGAAUCGAUGACCGCCAAAAACAUUUGGUGAGAUCGGCCCAAUGACAUCCAUGUCUUACAUAGAAAAGAGCCAUGGAUUCCAUUGAUUAUUUGUAAGGUAGGAUCUGUUUCUCAUCUUGUUCUACUAUCCUUAACAAAUCAGGAGACAAGCUACAGUCUUGGUCAUCUUGAGGUUCCUCUAGACACCUAUCUUGCUCAAAAGGAGGUUCUGAGUCAAUAGCAGUUUCGCUUAUAUCAUUCAUAUCUGGAGACAUGUUAUAGGGACGAAGGAAGAUCCAAAGAACCAAUGGAUCAAAGGAUAAUUAUCUGUGUGGUAUGAGUAUGAAUGAAAUGGAAGGAACAAAAGAAUGUUUGCCAAAACAAGACACAAAGAUGCAUUUCGUUGAAAUAAAAAAUAGUGGACAUAUGCCUUUUUCACAAAAGGAUUUCUAUUGCUCCCAAGCUUAGAGCAAUAAGAGUGUUCUGAAUAUUACUUUGAAAGGGUCCUAAAAACUAUAAGAAUCUCCUCCACAGUCCAGUUGUUCAGAAUGCUUGUAGGGAUGUAGGAACAAAUUCCUAAUAGGUUUUUUUGUUUUUUUUGUUCCUUCUUCAAAGGCACAACCAUCUUUCCCUUCUGAAACAUUGAUAUCUUCAAAGAAUUCCAAUUCUUUAUCAUCCAUCAGGCUCUGUACUAGAGUUUUGAACUCGACACACUUUUAGAUUUUAGGAAAUUUAUUGUAUGCAAUAAAAUGUAAUGUUAAUGAAUGGAAAAGAUGCAUGAAAAAAGGCGUUGGUUAUAGUUAAAUUCUAUUAUAACAACUUUACUAGAAAACAAAUUUCUUUACAUAAAGCGGAUACAUACAUAUACGGCCUUACCCUAAUACUCAAAGUGAAGACAUCGAUCCUUUUCCCCAUAUCCGUAUGUUAAAAUCGAAUCUCGCGAACUCUUCAAAGGGGUGCCUCAUCUAUCUCUUUUUUUUUUGCUUGAUCCAAGCCACGACCCAUUGUUCACUCAUCUUGUGAUGCUCGUUAGCUUCAUUAGCGGCUCUCGAAUAAUCAGCUUGAAUCCUUGGGCAACAAAGCAAAGUUGUGUACUCAUUUAUCAGAAUAUCACCAUUCCCUUGUUACGUUUUCUCGAACCAUAUUCAGACGAGCAUUGUCUUCCACUUUAUCAAGAAAUCCAUUUUCCAUGACAAGCUCUCUAUUUAGCAACUGAACGUGAAUCAGCACCUCUUUUCUAUGAUGAAAAUGUAAUGCAAUCAUAAAAAAGAAAAAGAAAACACGUCAGUACAAAACAUAAAUAACAAAAAGAGCACCUAUUUGGGUGACCACUAGGGGUUUGGCGUGGUUCUACCUAGGGUAGGCUCUUAGGGCUCAUUAUAUGCGGUUCGGCUCUAAAGUAAAGGUACCUGAAACGACAGAUUCCUCGAUCCUCACCCAUUAUAGGCUCAUAUGGAACGAGUUCAGUUCAGGGGAGUACAUUUCCCUAUGGCCAUGCGGAGAUGAAAAUCUCACGAAGACAUAGGUACGGAUGUAUCUCGAAAGCGAUUCACUAUCCCAUGCGGAGGUGAAAACCUCACGAAGGAAUAGUUUCUCACUCCCACUUAGAAGGGUAUAAUCGAGCGGUCAUAUAAUGCAAUAUAUGAAAUAUAUCAAAAGGCCUAAACUAAUAAAGCAAACAUAUUAAAAUGAUGCAGACCAUAAAAUGAAAUGCAAUGAAAGGAUCAUAAAUUUAAAUCAAAUUAUCAAUUUUCGACAAAAAGACAAGAACUAAUUAACUCGUGGCUUAACUUUCUUAUUUUAGUCCCCAGUGGAGUUGCCAAGCUGUCGAAACCAUUUUUUUUAAAGGGGUCGACUUUUAUUUUGAAAAUACAAUCAACAAAAAAAGAGAGGGAGUCUCCACCGACAUUUUUUGAAGUGUGAUCGAAUCACCUUGCAAUUCAAUCGUUUUAAUAAAAUGUUUUGAUUUUACUAAAACAAUGAUUUUGGUCUACGAAAUUCGAGAAAAAUGAAUUCGAGAGUCGGUUACGUGCGAGGAAGGAUUAGAAAAUAAAUAAAAUAAAUAAGACACAAAAAAUAAUAAUAAUGAUAAUAACAAUGAAAGUCAAGAAUAAAAUAAAAUAAAAGCAUCAUUAAAUACAAAAAAGUCAAAAUAAAAAUGAGAAGCAAAUAAAUAAAAUAAAUAAGACACAAAAAAAUAAAACUUACACAGAGAUAAAAGGGGAUUAAAUUAUCAUUGAAAUAAAAUUAAGAGUCCAAAUCCUAAUAAAAUAAGUUUAUCAAUAUAAGAGGGAUUAAGAUUAUAAUAAAAUAAACGCAAAAGUACUAAAUUGAAGUUAAUCGAAAAUCUGGGUAAAAAUCGAGAUUGAAAAUAAGGUAGAGGGCCCAUUUGAAAGGAUUGAAUAACUUAGAGGGACCAACUGGAAAAAUAUCCCCGCCCUCUGAAACACGCCGUUUUACUAGGACCAAAUUAAAAGUGAAAUAAAAUUUGAAGUAUAAAUUGGAAAAAUAAAAAGGACUGGAUUAAAACAAUUGAAAAAAGUAGAAGGGCUAAAUGCACAAAUAGACCCUUCCACAAAAACACGCCGACCCUCUUGUGGGUCGGGUCAAUGCGCGGGUUAAAGGAUGAAAUGACAUCAUUUUAGCCACUGGGAUUAAGGCCCAAAACGGCGCCGUUUCAAAUCUCUAUAUAAACCAAUUUGUUUUUUUUUAAAUCAUUUCUCCCCUUUUCUAAAAAAAAUAAGAAAAACACUCUCCUCCUCUCUCUCAACUCCCCUCUCCGGCUAUGGCUCCGACCAUUGGACUGCCGUGGUGGCCGCCAAUUGUCGGCAACGGCGCCACCGUCCAUGGUGGCCGGAAAGUCAGAAAAGGCCAUUUUUUUGGCUUUUCAACUCCCCAACCCCAAAAAAGCGUCGUUUUUCAUCGGAAAUGACGAACCUCGGCCACGGUGGCGCAAAACCCGAAACAAAAAGGUAUGUUUCCUUCUAUAUUUUCUUCUUUUUUUAAAAAAAAUGAAAUCAAACAAAAACAAAAAUGAAAUAUAAGUAGCAACCGAGACUACCUCUGAAAAAUUUACUGCUUUCGAUUGAUUUUUUUUUGUAGUAAUUGUAUCGUAAAAAAGUUACAUCACUGUUUAUGGCUUUUUAUAGCCCCCAAAAAAGAAAAAUACAAUAUUUGCUAUUAUUCCCCUUUGCCUCUGUUUCUGUCCUUUUUGUCUUGUCUGCAGGUACUAAGCGCGUACGGCGAUGGCAGCGGGGGGCUAGGUGUGGCGGUAGCAAGCUAGGGUUUCAUUUUUGUUUCCUGAAAACAUUAUGGGCUAGGGUUAGAUUUUAGGCUGUUGGGCUUGAAUUGAGUUUAGUAAUUUGGGUCUGUAAAUGGACUUUUAUUUUUAUUUUUAUUUUUUUGGGUUUUGUUUUUUGUAUGGUCUUGGGCUCGGGCGAAAUUGGUCUAUUACAAGUUGUUGGUUGAAAUUUUUAUAUUUUAUGUUUGUUAUGAUUUGGAAUUAUGGAUAUAGUAUGUGAUUUAUUGUAAGGUUUUAAAUUCUUUUAGGUAUAAAUUGUUUUAAUUGUAAUUAAUACUUACUUUUUAUUUUUAAUUUAUUUUUCAAAUUUAGUAUAGAGUAUCAGUAUUUAAUUCUUCAUAUAGGAACAAGGUUCAACAGCAGAGUAAAACUUGAGGAAAUGAAAGAAAAGAUCGGUGCGAAAAUCACUCAACGUUGUGAGAAGAUGAUGUCCAGACUAUUCUACAAAUUUCAAAAUAUUCCAAGUCCGUGUAUAUAUAACAAGAUGCAACUCAUAGAUGAUGAUGAAAUGGAGAAAUGAGAGCAACGCGUUGCUUGAUUGGUAACAUUUAACAUCCAGUAAAAAUGUUCGCUGAGUUGGAGAAUGUUGAUCCAAGAAAUGUGGCAACUAACAUUCCUUUUUCUUUGUUUGAUUGGCUUUGCUUUAGGAUUUACAUUCAAACAAUGUUGGAUCAUUGAGGGAUGGAUUAUUAGCAUGUCCACUGCGGACCAUGCAAAGAGGUCUGCAUUAUUCCUUAAAAGGCUUAUCAACAUUUUCUUCUUGUGCUUUGAUAACUUGGAUGCUAUUUUUGUAGUUUGCUCCCUAUCUCUAGGGAAUAAUUCAAUUAGCUUUGUCUUUUUUGGUGGCUCAGGUUUGUUGAAUCUCUCCUACGUUUUAACAUCCAGACUUUCCAGAUUCAUCAUUAAUUUGUUCAAAAGAUUGUCUGCUGACUUUCGUUCAGAAAACUCUGCUUCUUUACCAAAAUGUGUAUGACAUUUUUCUUUCCUUGCUAAUUGUAAAGAAAGAAUGCGACAAUUUUGUACUGUUUGUUGAUCGAACUUCAUGUGUCCUUCACCUGUCGGAGUGAGAAAUUUUACCUUUAAACAAUAAGUGGCCACCACCAUCUUUAUCUUCUUCAUCAACGACCUGCUAAAGAUAGCGUUGUAUGAUGUUGGAUCAUCAACGACUAGGAACUCCACCAUUUGGGUAACUGUUCGUUCAUUAUCACCAAUUACCACUGGCAACGUGAUUGACCCUCUAACACCAAUUGGCUAGUUGCUAAACCCAUAGGUUAGACUUUCUCACUUCAACUCUGUAUUGGAUAACCCCAUAUGUCUGAAUGUCUGCCAGCUCAAUACUUCAACAACACUUUCAACAUCAACCAAAAUUCCUUUAACUUCAAACCCUGCUUUCAAUGCUGAAACUAGUCAAAUCUACUUCAUCUCGAUUUGAAAACCCAACUCUCCAUGGCUACACUUGUUGUAACAUCCCGAUUUUGGCCCAAAUCGGAACAGUGGUUUCGGGACCACACAUCCGAGUCUGAAAAAUAUUUUAAUAUUUUUAUUCUGUGAUUAUUAUGUGUGAAUUUACAUGUGUGAAAGUUUCGUGAAUUAAUUUUAUUGUUUGAGUGCUUAAUUUGAGAAAAGAGCUUAAUCGCGUAAAAUGAAAAUUUAGUGGUUAAAUAUGAAAGUGCCUAAUUGUUGUUGUCUCUAUAAUUUGGAGGUUCUAUGAUGCAAUUAGCCCACUAUAUAAGUUAGUGGAUGGCAAUGGUCAAGAAUGACCUUAUAUUAUAUGUUAUAUAUAUAUAUAUAUUAGUAAGGUUAACUUAGUAAAAUAAUAAUAAUGGUAAUAUAAUGUUAAUAAAAAAACAUAAAAUAAAAAAAAACCAUGCAAAAGUUCAUCCAUAGCCGAAACAUCAAAAAGAAAAAAAAAAGAAAAGAAGAAAGCUAAGUUCGGCCCUUGUGUCCUUUGAUUUAGGUAUGUGUUUUGUUCGGUUUUUGAUAAUUUUUACGUUUUUGAGAUCGUUGCUUCGUGUUCUUCAAAACCCAUGUCUUAAUUUUGUGAAUUGUGAAUGAUUUUAAAAUGUGUCAUUGAUGAAUGUUUGAGUUUUAUAAUGUUAGUAGGUGAAAUAUGAAAUAUAUUUGUUAGAUUAACAUGUUUUGUUUUUGAAUUUUUGGUGAAAUUGAGUAAUUGGGUUAAUUUGUGAAAAUAAAUUUUUGAGGGACUAAAAUGCUAAAUAAAUGAAAAAAUAUGGAGUUGUAUGGACACUAGGAAUAUUCGGCCCUUAAGGAGUGUAGUCAAAUUUUGUGUAUUUUGUGUUUUGUGCAAUAGGGAGUAAAUUGUAAAAAUGUAAAAUAUUAGGGGUAAAAAUGUAAUUUGCCCAUUUAUGUGUUCUUAGACUGAAUUGAAUGAAAAUAUGUUUGAAUGAGAUUUAUUUGAAUAUGUUUAGAUCAAGAAACCAAGAAAUCGGAUUUAGAUCGGGGGAAAUCGAAAAUACUCAAGUAGCCGAUCUAAUAGUCAACGAUAUUCCAGGUAAGUCCGUAAGAGUUUAAAUGUUGAUAUAAUUAUGAAAUUGUAAUUGUUAUUUACCGAAUUGAAUUUUUGGGAAUUAUUUGGGCUAUGGCCGAAUAUGGUAUUAUGAUGUGGCUACUUUUCGAGUUUGAUUCGAACGAGAUCCGACGUACGUAAGCCCCGUAUGAACCUUAGGAAUAGUUAGGAUACAUAUGUCAUGACAUAGGAUUUUCGAGAUGUGUUAUCGUGUAAGACCACGUAUGGGACGUUGGCAUCGACUUGUGUUUACGUGUAAGACCCUGUCUGGGACAGUGGCAUCGAUAUGUGAUUACAUGUAAGACCACGUCUGGGACGUUGGCAUUGUACGAGUUUCCGACUAUCCGCGUAUCCUUUUUAAUUCCGAAUGGUUCAACGGCAAUAUGAAAUAAAGUCCGUUCAUGGAAACGUAUAAAAGUUUCAGGUAUGAAUUAGCCAUUUAAUUACAAGGGAAUAAGAUGAGUUAGUUAAUUGAAUUGGUAAAAGUUAUCAAUUUGAUUAUGUAUUACAAGCUAACCAUUUGUAUAUUGGAAUGUUUUGGGCUGUUGAUAUAUGUUAUAAAAUAUCUAUGUUUUGAGUACAAGUAUUCGGCUUGUGCAAGAUUUACAUAAAAAAAAAUGGUGAUCAUAGUUUGGAUGCUAAAUGAUGCUACGUAAUUGAUAUUCGAUUAUAUUUACUUAAUGUUUUUGAUCAAAUAUUUAUAUAUAAGAUUUUGCUUAUGACUUACUAAGCUCAAGAAGCUUACUUUGUGUGUGUAUUUUGCUUUUGUCUAUUUUAUAGAUUUUGGGGUCGUUACGAGCUCAGGGAUCGUCAGCAUGGUCUAUCACACUAUCGACAUCUUUUGGUAUUUUAUUAAAUUUCGAAUUCGAUCGUAUGGCAUGUAUAGACUAGUUUUGGAGUUUAGCUUAAUUUGAUAGUGUGUGUAUUAAAGCCAUGCAAAAAUGGCUUAAGUAUUUUAUCUAUAUUAGGUUUUGGUUGAAUUAUGGUUUAAGUAUGUUUUGUUCAUUAUAGAAUUUUAAUUAGACAGUACUUAUGGAGCAAAGAAAAUGUAUGCAUAUGGUAGUGUCUUAUUUAUGGGUUCUCGGCAUUUAAGUAUUUGAUGUAGGUAUAUUUGAUAUUUGUGCUAAAAUAGAAAUGGAAGUUAGGUGAUAUUGGUUGGGUGGUAUAUUUAUAUAUAUAUAUAAGUGAUAUGUAUGGUAUGUUUAUGGAAUAGGAUUUAUAAAUUGAAACAUGAUAUAAUGGUUGGUAACUACUAUAUAAUCGGUUACUAUUUGGGUAGUUGAAUAAUUUAAAGUUUGGACAUGUAUGGUCUAUAAUGAUAAAUAUUAUUUCUAUUUUAUAGCAUAAUAUAUAUAUAUAUAUAUAUGUAUAUACAUAACCGAAAAUACAAAGUCUAAUUUAGUAAUGGUAUUGAAAUGUGGUAAUUGGAAAUGGAUGAAAUGCAAGUUUAUAUGUAUGUUAUUUAUGAUCUUGAUUGUUAGGUCUCAUUAUAGGUUUCGUUUAAGUUUAGAUAAAAAUUUAGGUAUAUUACUGAGCAUAAUAAUUUAUGGAAAGUAUAUUUAUAUUUUUAAUUAUCUUAGUAGUUUAUUAUAUUAUUAUGAUUACACAUGUGAUUUAAUAUGGUAUAAAUUAUAUUUGGAUAUUGUAUAUUAUUAUUGUCGUGCAUAUAUAUAUAUAAUAACAAAUUAAAUCUAGUUAUUCUAACAUGGUUGAUAUAUGUGACUUUGUGCAUAUUCAGAAAUUUAUAAAAAUAAUAUGUUUAAUAGUUAGUCUAUGUGAUAGUUGGAUUGGUAUUUAUUCGAUGCAUGAAAUGUAAGAGUUUUAAUUAAAGCAUGUUUAUAGGAGGUAAAUGUCAAUAUUUGAAGUCAUAUAGUUGAAUAUUAUUACAAACAUUAAGCGUCUGCUAAUUGAUUUGUUGCACAUUAGUUAUUUCGUUAAUGUGAAUAAAUAAUGGACAUUGACAUGUUUUAAAUAAAAUUUUUAAAACAUGAAUUGCAUAUGAAUAUUAAGUUGUGAGGUUUAUUGAACUUUAGUUAAUUAAAUAAAGUUAUAUGUUUUUAUAACUAAUUGCAUCUGUUUCAGAUUUAUAAAUUAUAUUAUAUUAUUAUUAAAUGAUCUUAUGUAAGUAUAGUGAUAAGAUUGAAUUAUGAAACAAGAAAGACAAUAAGGGUCUAUUUGAUAGGGGGAAAAUAUUUUCCGGAAUUGGUUUUCCCUAUUUUCCAGUGUUUGAUUGGAGGAAAAUAUUUUCCUCACGUAAAAUCAAUUACAAACACGCGAAAAAGAAACCUUUAAUUUUGGAAAAUGUCUUACCGAUUUGGAAUCAGUAAGACAUUUUCCAAUUUUUCCAGCGUUCUCCCUUCUCCCCUCUACACCGCUCUGGUUUCGUUCUCCCGUUCGUUCUCCCUUCUCCCUUUCGUUCUCCCUUGAUUUGGUUUCGGGCUCCUUUUCCCCCCUUGAUUUCUUCUUCUUUUUAUAAAUUGAUUUGGGGAUUUUCUACUUGUUUUUGUCUGAGAUCUUGCUUGGGUUUUCUACUAAUUUGGCUGUGCUGUUUGGCUUGUCUUGGGCAGACUUUCUUCACAGACUUGCUUUAGAAAGGUAUAGUUUCUUCUCCAUAGUUUUGUGAAUCGGUUUCUUGUCCAUAGUUAGAAAGAUUUUGGCCCCUGUUUAUGCUAAAUGUCACCUCUGCUCUCACUGAUCUGUGCGUGCUUUUUUUGUUUGAUUUUAAGUGUAUUUUUUAGCAGAUCGAAGCUUGUUUCGCUGUUUUUGAUCAAAGUGUUUUUUUUAUUUUUUUUUUGAUUUUCGGUUUUUGAUCGAAAUUCUAUGUUUUUCUGUUUGUUUGUCACUAUCUCGUUUACUAACUGUUCAUGCAAUUCUUAAAGAGUAUUAUAUCAUAAUGGAUUCUUUUUUAAGUCUCUGUUUGGUUGAUAGGAAAAUUCUAGAAUUAUAUGAAAAAAGAAAUGCAAAUUUAAGUCUCGUUCAGAAAAUGAUUUCUACUUCGAUUUUGUUUUAUUAUUUUGUUUUGCACGUUCUAUUUCGUGCAAUGCUUCACCGUAUCCAUAUUAUGUUACCCGUACUCAGAUUUAUAUAUAUGUAUAUGCAUCUGAUAAUAAUAUGUUCAAAGAAUUACAACAUUUGAUGUUGAAGAACAAGAAAUUAGCUUCUUCGUUUUCUUUUUUUUUUUGGUUUAAGUGAUUCUGUUUUAAGUAUAUGUUUUACCUUCUGCAGCCAUUUCAUAUCUUUCAAGCCUUCCCUCCCAAAGCAGGCCAAGGUGAGGAUCUUUGACUGGUUGUGAAAAGUGAAAGAAAAGCUGGUAAAUGAUUCUUGUUAUGCUUUAAGUCUAGCAUUAUGUAAGCAGGGUUUGUGGUUCAUGUUUUUAAGUAUCUGCUUUACCUUUGUUCUCCAGAGUAGUUGAAUAUUUGUUUCACAGCUACAUAUAUAGGAAUUUGUGGUUCAUGUUUUUAAGUAUCUGUCUUACCUUCUGCUGCCAUUUCAUAUCUUUCAAGCCUUCCCUCCCAAAGCAGGCCAAGGUGAGGAUCUUUGACUGGUUGUGAGAAGUGAAAGAAAAGCCGGUAAAUGAAACUUGCAUUUGUGCCGUAGAGCCUCAUUCGGAGGCAUAGCUUUUAACAUGCUCUUAUAUAGAAAAUAGUCAUAAUUGAGCAUAAUGCAAUUUCAAUUCAAUAUUUCAUUUCAUUUAUCAAGGUUUCAGUUUCGUAUAUGGCAGUGCUGCAUUGUUGAUAUUCUCCCAAUUAUGAGAUAUUAUUCCAAUGAUGCUAAAAGAGAAUGGGGUAGAGCUAACAAGAACAAAUUCAUAGCAUGUGGAUGGUUUUAAAUAGUUGUGCAAACACUUUGAGUGUAAAACUGCUUCAUGAUAUGGUUGUGGAAAGAUUGUAGGUUAAGCAAAUGGCACAGUUUCUGUUUUAAUGUAGUAGGUUGUACAUUGGUUUUGGUUGCAUUUCUUGGUGGAUGCCGUUUGAAUAAUAAAUUAGAAUAACUAAAAUUUUUUCUUACACCGAUUUUAAUUUUGAUUCGUAUAGUGUACACUGACUAAAACAUUUCACAUCGACUAAUGCACAAACAAUACUAAAAAAUUAUUUUUUACCAACUUUAUGGAUAAUAAUUUAAUUAUGGAUAAUAAUUUAAUUAAAGAUACAACAUAAUGAAAUAUGGAUUAUUCGUUUUUCUUUAUCUUUUUUUUUGUGAAUUUAUUCGUUUUUCUUUAUUUACAAGUAAUCGAUAUCAAAAUCUUUUACGAAAAAUCUGAUUAGUAUAUUCUCAAACUAGAAUCUAUAUCAAAUUGGUCUCUAUAAUUUAAUUAAAGAUACAACCAAAGUUUUUUUUAGUUAAAAGUAAGAAGCAUGAAAAAAUUUGGCUUCAAAAAUUUUCUCAGGGUUGAAGAUAUUGAUACAUUUAUGUGGUGUAAUAUUAUGCACUUGGACAAUGUUGUUACUAUGUGGUGUAAUACUAAUUAUGUAUUUGGAUAAUAUUAUUUCUAGUACUCAUUGUGGUUUCGAAGCAAUUUAUAAUUAUUCAAUAUUAUUACUAGUACUCAUUGUGGAUAAUAUUUUUUCAAUUUCUAACGAUCAAUAUUAUAGCUUAAUAAUUGAGUAUUAUUAUAAAUAAAUCAUUGUAAUAUAUGUAAAAGCAAUUUAAAAUAUAAAAAUUUAUUAAUAUAUAUUAAUAUAUGUAAAAAAUAACUUUUCCGGAAAAUAUUUUCAAGAAAUCUGUCAAACAGCAGAAAAUAUUUUACACAGAUUCAAUCAAACACCAGAAAAUAUUUUUCAGUAAAUUAUUUUACAGAAAAGUAAAACAUUUUCCACAAAUCAUUUUACGGAAAACAUUUUACUGGCAAUCAAACGGACCCUAAAUGCUUAUUUUGAUUUGUGCUAUGUCCAGUAAUACCUUGUAACCCUAAUCCGACGACGGAUGGGGGUUAAGGGGUGUUACACUUGUCGAGGCUUCUUUACUAACAUUGUCAUAGACAUCACGCUAUGCAAAUAAGCUUUCCUUUUAGUGUUAGAUCUAAUUUACUCGUCAUUAGUUCCAAUUAUUACAUUGAUGACUCAUCUUGCAAUUUAUUUUCCUUUUCCCUUAUCAAAUCCGCGUGAACUUGAAGCCUCAUCACCUUUGCUUUUGCACCCAUAAGGUUGUCCCUACCGAGCAACAAAAUAUUGUAAUUGCCCUCUACAAACUGCGGGCUCAAUGGCAUGUUUCAAAUGAACACAAUCAUUUGUUCUAUGCCCUCUAUCAUGAUGGAAACCACACACAUCCAACGAAUUAUCUCUGUGAAUGCUAGGCCUCAAGGGAGGUAGUGGUUUUAAAAUUCCUUGAUGCUCUAUCUGGUUCAAUAUUUGUGUUGGAGUUGCUUUCAAGUCAUGAUAAGAUUGCAAUUAGUUAUAAGGCAUUCUUCCUCUCUAUUUCUGUUGAUAGUUCCUAUCUCCUCUCAUCAAUCUCUAAUAACCUUGUGAAUUGUUAGAGCUAAAUCUAUGUUGACCCCGCUUCCCCGAGUAUGAGUGUUGAGAACAGGUUCUUCCGGUUCUAUCAUGCAAUGAGGGCCUCCUUCGAGGAUUAUGAAAAUCUCUGAUAACCUUAUGUUUUUCCAUGUCAUCACUCUCGACGAACAUAUGGUUUUUUUCAUAUAACGCCGACAAUCUAACAAGGGGUUGAUUCACCAAAUUAUACUUCAAGAAUUGGUGCGUUGUUCCAAACAUAAAGGCCUGAAUGAUAGAUUAUUUGGGGACAUCUUUUGUUAUCAUGAUCACUUCAUUAAACCUCUUCACAAAAUCUCGUAAAAGUUCGCCCUCACAUUGCUUGAUAGACAUGAUGCAUGCAGGUGAUUGCUUCAAUGUUUUGUUUGCUAAGAACCUACUCAUAAAUAGGUCUGCCAGCUGCUCGAAGUUCACGAUAGAGUGUUGUGGUAGUUGCAAAUUCCAUGCCUGGGUCGAGUCAGUCAACGUCAUAGAAAAUGUCAUCCACUUAACUUCAUCUGAGACUCCCAAAUAUAUUUGUAUUAUUUACACAAUCAUUAUGAGGAACUUAAAAGUAGGGGAAACAUGAUGGUGCAAUUUUUCGAAGCUAAAGUUUCAUUUUUGUAUUUUUUUACUAAUCCUGGGAACUCGAUUUUCUGAAAAUCUUAGGUAUGCUUCUCUGACCUUUCUACUUGUUUGCUUCAAAUUAUUUUGACUAGAAUAGUUGGUAUCAUCAUAAUAUUCAUCAUAGUUAUCAUCCAUAUCAAUACAUUUGCUAAAUCUUCAUUACUUCGGUUUGCAUGUCGACGAUUGCAUUCAAAAUGGAUGUAUUCUUCCUCUUCAUGCUGUGGGUUUUGAUCACAAUUCAUCAUUGCUUCUUUUAACUCUCGACAAGCUUUUCAUUUCUUUCACACUACAAAAAAAUUGCCAUUUACUGACAAUCAAAAAUCCGUCGGUAAAUACAAAAAAAUCAUUGUUAUAGUACCUUAGACCUUAUACCGACAGAAAAAUGCUACGCUGACGAAAAUAUGACCGUCAAGAAAAGUUGUCUAUAUAAGGCUAUAUUGACGGGCGUUAACCAUUGAUAUAUCUCUUCUACUUUAUACUGAUGGUAUUAUCCGCCAGAAAAAGCAAUAUCAAUGGAUAGUUAUCCCAACCCUUUAUAAACAUCUUUAUAGACGAUUGCUAACUGACAGUAUAGGCAUUGAUAUAUACUAACGAUCUUCUUGUUAGUAAAAGUUACAUUUAAUUUUUAGGAAUUAUUUUAGACAAUUUUAUAUUUGAUUUUUUUUCAAUUUUUCUAGAAAUUAUAUUUUUUAAAAAGAAAAUAUCAAAAUUAGAUAUAAUCCAUAAAAAAUCCUAAUAAAAAUACAAUGGAAACAAAAAUUAAACGAAGGAAUUAUAUUACGUUAAUAAUGUAUAUUUAUACAUAAUCAUGUACAUUAUCAAGUUAAUAAAAACAUAUAAAAAGAUGACAAUAUUCCGAAACUACAAAAAUAACAUAAACCCGAUGCACAUAAUAGAAAUAGUUGGUCUCACAUCCUUCACUCGAUUAUUCAUAGUUUGUAGCUAUAAUACAAUGGAAUUAGCUAAAGAUGUAAAUUUAGGCUCAAAUCUCAUCAGAUUCUCGAUGGACCUCAUUCAAGUAGAAAAUGAUGAAAUAGGAGAAAAAACUUAUUGAACUACAUUAGCAACUGUGUAAUGUGAUUAUUCCAAUUGUAGUUAGUAUUAUUAUUAUACAAGCUAAAAUGAUAGUAGGGAUAAUCAUUUUUGUAUCCAUUAUUCAUAUAACUAGAAGUACAAUUAGUAAAAAGAAAAGUUGUUCAGUUGACUAAAUAAUGAAAUGUAAUAACGAUGUUGAGAAUGAUUUUGUUUUAGAAAAUUUGUCAUAAAAAAUGAAAUUCUGAAUAUUAUUGACAUCUAAUAAGUGAUCAAUAUUAUUUGUAAUAACUAAAUGUGUCAUUCCAAACAUGAAACUGGGGAAAAUGAAACCUCGAAAGAAAAAAAUGAAACGGGGAUAAAAAAAUGGAAAAGGAAAAAAGAAGAGGCAUUGUAGCCAUGUAAAAAGACUGAGAAAAAAAAUCCUUAAAGAGGGGAAAAAAGUGAGAAGAAAAAUAUAGAAUCGAAAAGAAUAAAACAAACCGAAGAGGAAGAGGGGAAUGGGGUGAAUAAAACAAACUGAGUAAGAAAUGAGGAAAAAAGGGGAUGAAUAGAAGAAAAAAAAUAAGGCGGCACCGAGCUGGCACCCGCUGUCCAGUCACUUUUUUUCCUUUUUUUUUUCUUUCACUCUACUAUAUAAAUACCCAAACAACCCCCACCCCAAAACAGCCGAAAUUGGGAAUAAAAGAAAAGGAGAAAUUGAGAAUUUUUUUGUUGGGGUUGUAUGAAGUUUAAAGAUUUUUGUGUUGCUGUUUUGGGGGAAUAAUUUAACUAUUUUAAGGUAUGUUUUUUAUUAUUAUAUUAUAUUAUAAAAUAAUCUUUACUUAUAAUUUGUUAAUUUAAGUGAUGAGGAAUUUUUAUUAAUUGUGUAUAUAUCAAAAUGAGUUAUCUUAUCAGAGCAUCCGAUCACACUGCACUGAUGAUUAAUGAGCCAGUAAAAUAAUUUUAUAUUUAUUAUUUGCACAUAUAUUUUUAUAGAGUUGCGACUUAAUUUUUAAUUAGUUGGUCAAUUUAACAAAUGUGGUUAUAUGUUAUGGACAAGGUAAGUUCCACAUGUUAAGGCCACGUGUCCAUGGUCUAAGCUACCAUCCGGACGAUUGUAUUAUGCCAUACUUGCAUGCCACAGAAUUUGGAACAAUGACAUUAGUCCGAACGAUUGAGUUAAGAGCUGAAUUAAUAUCCACCUUGGUUGAGUGGUGGCACCAGAAGACUCGCACUUUUCAUUUCCCGAGUGAGGACUGCACCAUCUCCCUUGAAGAUGUCGCAAUGCAACUUAGGCCCCCUAUUGAUGGUGAUGCGGUCACGGGUUCGAGUAAAGUGUUCAAACCUUUAGCCUUCUGCUACAAGUUGCUUGGACGCUCACCCAAUAAUGGGGAAGAUAGGUUUACUAACUUGAAAUUUUCCUGGUUAAGAGAAAAUUUCCAAACCUUAUCAAGUAGUGUCAUUGAGUGGGAGCUGAUGGGCACUGCUCGAGUGUAUAUAUUGUAGUUGAUAAGGGUACUUAUGCCAGACAUAAAUAAUAAGGUCCACAUGAUGUACUUGCCUCUAUUGACUGAUUUGCAACAGGUCGGUUUGUAUAGUUGGGGCUCAAUAGCAUUAGCGACGUUGUAUCAUGAGUUUUUUCAGGUGACAAAGCAUGACACAGAAGAUAUAAGCGGCUACCUGAUACUACUAUAGUCGUGGGCAUUGUACAGGAUGUCAUUUCUAGCAUCAAUAAUUAUUUUUGGGGGGGAAUGUAUGCUAACAAGUUUGCUUCGUUUUUAGAUGGUUUAUGUAUCCGGGUAUUGGGAACUUGAAGACUCUCAUUGUUUACCGACAAAUGAUAGAGGCAUACGCUGGGGACCAUGUAAUUUUUAAAAAAACUAAAUUAUAUAAUUAUUCUUUAAUUUCUUUGAUUAUGUUAUUUGCCUAUGUAACUAUCACCAUGUUAAAUAUUAUACAGUUCAUGUAGAUGUCAUAUUCUGCACCUAACAUUGUGACUAUCAUUCCCCCACGGGCUUACAACCAUUCACUUGUGUGGUGCAUCAACACACCCAUGUUAAACUUUUCAACGGUUGAUUGGUACAAUGGGAAUCGAGUUCUGCAAUAAUUUAGGUGCUACAACAUGUUUUAGACAUUUCAUGUAUAUUCGAAAAUGUCCACAGGAUUAAUAAGAGGGGAAAAGAAGGAAAGAAUUGGGCAUUGGAACAUCAACAAUAUUGCAUUGUGAAACACCCGAAUGGAGAGGCGGCCUUGGUUGCAGUCAUGUUUGUUUGAUUUCAUGCCCUUGGUCCACUACCAACAUUGGUACAUGGAGAGCGAAUUGUCUCAUUUAUACGGUAGGCAGAUGGUGGUAGUUCCGAAACAAAUGCACCGACGAAGUCCUCAACAAAGUGGGUCGAGUCAACAACGUAUUUGUCGAGGUCAUCCGUCUCUUGGAACCCAAACUGUGCCUAAGCCGGACACCCAACCUUCAAGGUCACAUUCACAAUCGGAGGGUAGUUCUUACCAUUCGAAGUUUCAGGUUGAUAGCCUUGGUCCGAGGUUCUAACGCUACACAUAUCAAUUAGAGAUUCCCGUUUGUAGUUCUAAUUAUCAACAACCACAAUCAUCAAUGAGGGUUGAUAUGUUUGGCUCGGCACCCACGUAUUCCCAAUCCUCUACCCUCUAGGCAAACCUUUGACCCGACAUUCAAUUUUUCGAAUUUGAUCAAUACACCUCAAGGUUCGUCCAUGGAUGAUGAGGAUGCCAGUUCGGGUGAGGACAUUAUUAACCACAAUGAUCAACCCCGAUGCCGACGAAGGGCGCCUUGAUGUUUCACCCCUCGAACAACUCUUGAUUCCCAACAUUUUCUAUACUUGUAAAUUUGAUUACUUGUGGUAUAUUUUUUUUAACAACAUUUUUUGGUCAACAUGUAUAAAUUUCAUACUUUAGCAAGAAAAAAGUUAUAUUUGAUCAAAAUAUUACAUUACGUGAAUUUCCUGUAUCAAGUCGUGAACAAGUUUAAAUGAGGAAAUGAUCGAUAUGAAACAAUUAAAGUGGAGAAACUUAAGUAGGAUCAACAUAUUGUUUCAAAUUAUUCGAAAUAUAAAAUUUAACUGUUUAUAUUUAUAAUAUAUGGUAAUGCGUAAUUGAAAAGAGGAGAAAAUAGUCACAUCAGGAGGAAAAUAUUUGAGGAAAAAAAUGGAUGAAUAAAAAAAGAAAACUCGAACUCAUUAUUUAAAUUAACAAAAUUAAUUAAAAGAUUCCCUUUUUUCCUUUUUUUUCCCCUUUUUUCUUAGUCUUUCCUUGGCUUUAAAUUAAACACCCAAAUGUAAACCCGAACUCAUUAUUUAAAUUAACAAAAUUAAUAAUGAUAGUGGCAGCAUGUCUUAAUAUUAGUUAAAAUGGUAAUUAAUUUUUUAUUUUAAGAAGUAAAGAACUAAAAAUUAUUUAAUUCCGAUCACGUAAAUUCUAAUAAUGUAAUAAUAUAUGUGAAAUAUUUACCAUUUAAAAAAAACUAAAAUUUAAAAAGACGAUAACAAACAAAUCUAUAUACAAUGGAACAUUGGGUACAAGUAUAUUUUAAUCUCCCUUCAACUGGGACGAUUGUCCAACAUGGUAGUUUCAAUGCGAGUAUGUGACUCGAUUGUGGCCAAGUAUUUUGCACAAACUGCAACGUUUUAGUUCAAUCGUCUCUCUUAAGUCCAUGUUAUCGCGAAUCCUUCUGACGUGUGGUCGACCUUUGGGUACCUUACGUAGUUGUACGUUUGGCAGCAACUCGAAUAGAAGUGGAGGCACUUCCCAUGUCGAGACAUCCCGCAGUACGGGGAACUCAUUUUGCAAAAUAUAUAAUGUGCGUUCCAUUGUAUACACCUCAUCGAUAUAUUGUUCAACAUUCAAACCGGCAGAUGCACAUGUUGCAACCAAAAGCGCAUAUAAGUACCAAAAGGUUUGGGACCUCCCACACUCGCAUCGCCUAAUUCAUAGAUAAACUCCGUAGAACUUAAUCGAAACCCCUAUGCAACAAUCAAUGUACUCUAUCACCUGAAAAGUUUCCAAGUGUAACACCCCUAACUCGUAUUCGUCGCCAGAACAGGGUUACGAAGCAUUACUGAACAAACAGAAUAGUAAACGAUUCAAUUCAUAUAUCAAUGCAAUACGUAUUCUAAUUUCAUUCAAAUACAUUCAUAAUGUCCCUUAAUCGAGCCCUCAAAGCCUUCAAAAAUACAAUAGAAAUGGUCCAGGACUAAAUUGAAAACAUUUAGAAAGUUUAGGAAAAAUUAGAAAAAUUUAUACUAUAGGGGUCACAUGGGCGUGUGACCAGGCCGUGUAACAUUCGAAAUAGGGACACACGACCAUGUCCCAGACCGUCUCCAUGCCCAUGUAACUUACUAACUUGUGUCAUAUGGCCAAGCCACACGCCCAUGUGUCAGGCCGUGUAACUCUCAAAAUGGCCUCACACACUCAUGUGCUAGGCCGUGCAACUUUAGAAAAGCAACCAUUAACAACCUACAGGGGUCGCCUGGCCAUGUGUCACACACGACCGUGUCUCCUAGUCGUAUGUCACACAUGACCAUGUCGCCUGGCCGUGUGUCACACACGACUGAGACACAUGUCCGUGUCUUAGGCUGUGUGGACAAGAAAUAGGCCAAAAUCAAGCCUUUUCUUUCACCCAAUUUCAACAAGUACCAACACGCCAAAUGAACUUAUGAUCAAGGCACCAAAAUAUGUAUAAUAAGAUUAUUUUAAUAUACCAUAAGUCCAUUCAACCAAUAUGCCAUUUAGGCACCUCAAUCACAACCAAGCAUUCGUACUUACAUUUGCAUCAAAAUGAUCAUGUUUCAUCCAAACAACCUUAACUAGUUUCCAUAUCAACACAUAACCUAAUUGACCACAUUUCAACCAUGCCAACACAUACCACUUUGUCCAUUUAACCCAUGCAUCAAUUUGGCAAUAAAAACACCAACCAUCAAGACAUCAAAUGCCAAAAGCACACCAACCAAAAUACCACAUUUACAAGCCAAACAUAACAACAUCUCAUCAAACACAAUUUACCUAUACAUGACAUUAUAACCUUGAUCAAGAUAUCAAAUCUACUGAUAUAAUCGCUGGAUAGUGUGAUAGAUCUCCGACGAGCUUCCAACCCGAUCGAGCUUCUGAUAAUCUGUAAAGGAAAGAAAAAUAACUACGUAAGAAAUGAAUGCUUAGUAAGCUCGUAUAAACUUUAAACAUAACAUUCCAUUUCAACAAUGAACUUUAUAGAUUAAAUAUAAACCUAUACCAAUGCCUCAAGAUUUAUCAACUACAUAACCAUCAACUCAUAAAUGAGUAAGUCUAUCAACAUCACAUAUAUAUUUUUCAUUCCUAACAUCAUAGGAUUUUAUAAAUCAUUAUACACCAUCAUUAACUUUUUCAUAAAACUAUGAAUUACUUCAUUUACUUACUUUCCAUUUCAUUUACGAAGUAUAAACUUAAAUAACAACAUCAAUUCACUAGUUAGUAUAUUUAUUCACCUCAUAGGUAAGUUUAUCCAUAACAUACAUAAUUUCUCAUAUAUAUAAAUACACCAUUCAACUCAUCAAUCCUUUUUUCAUCAUAUCACAUUUCAAUAAUGAACUUAUCGCUUCAUUACAUUUUUUUACACAUUUCAUUUAUAUAAUACCAGACAUAAGCAUAAACAUCAAUCAUAAUCUCAAGCUUGACAUAAGCUUAAUCACCAUCAUCAAUACACAAGUUAGUGCAUUUAUGUAUAUAACUCAUUUGGGGUCAAUCACAUGAUAAACCAUUUUAUAAGAAAAUACACCUUUGGAUCUUACCACCUUUUCAUGAACAUAAGCAUAUUUCUAUUUGGUCACUUUCCAUUUCAAUGUAUAUCAUUAAUAUUAAACAUGACAUAAUGCAACCAUAAGCUUAGCACAAACCUAAGCAUCAUCCACAAUCUCAACUGACGUUAUGUUCAUAUCAAUAUUCAAUAAAUAAUAAAUCUUUCAAAUUCAUUAAAGAGUUAUCUUACCAAGAUUUUCCUUUCGAAGAACGACUUACGGAUAAGAGUACAUCAUCAGAUCAACCGAACACACCAAAUAGAAGCUCAUAGGAGCUAAUCCAAUUAAAAUACGCCAAACAGAAGCUUAUAAGAGUUGGGCCACCCAAAACACACCAACAGAAGCCCAUAAGAGCUAAGUAGAAGCUCAUAAGAGCUGAUCCACUCGAAACGCGCCAAACAGAAAGUAUAACGUGAGAGUUCGCAACAAAUGUUGAACCUUGGUUUACUUGGGUAAUAUACAAAUAUCUCCCUCCAAUACUAUCUCCACUCCAAACCCCCGUAACACACCAAAUCACAAUUGUACUCUAUCCCACGUUCAAAUCAAACCGAGCAUCAAUUCAAUAUUAACUCUCCAAUUACCAUUUAUUAUCAACAAUUAAAAUCAAAUAUAUAUACGGUACCAUGUUAAUCUACUCAACAAUUCAUAUUGAUGUUCAAUUCUAAAUUGUACAAACUUACCUAGCUAAAUCGCAGAAAUGUUCAAUUCAAAGUACUUUUAUUGUCUCUCCUUCUUUUUCCCAAUGCCUUCUUUACAUAAGCAUCCGAGACCUCUAAAGUAAACCUCGCCUACAAAAAACACAAGUUAAUAAAGUAAAUAUAAAUGAAACUAUUUCCCAAGCAUUACAGAUGACAUUAACAUUUUGUUACCUUAAUAUUAUCGAGGGCUUGGUUUUUGUUGUUAUCGGGCAUUUGAUGCCAUGACUCGUAGUUGAUAGGCAACAUAUUCGCAUUUCGUGCUAAAAUUCCCAUGUAUCCUGCUAAAAGUCGAGCUUCUGAUCCAACAGGCUGACCAAAACUGUUUCGUCCAACUUUGACACGCUCGACUGGAUCUAACUCGUAUAACUCUCUAAGUAGCGUUCGUCCUCGACCUCUGCGCGUCCUACCAUUUUCAGCUACAAAUGGUAUAUUAUAAUAUAAGAAUUUGAAAAAUGAAUCAAUUAUAAGUCAACAUGCAUGUAAAUUAAAUGUAAAAUUACUUUGAACUUCUGUAGGAUCCUCAGGUGUAAUCGGAACAUUCAAAGAUCCAAUUGCUGUUUGUUGUUCAGUACUAUUUGUUUCUGUCGAGUUUGGAUCAUUUUGAACAAUGCUUCCCCUUAGAAUUUUUCUUCUAGGCAUUUUAUCUGCAAUACACAUAAAAUAGUUGAAAACUUAAUAACUAAUUACAACAAUAACAACACAUAUAAAAUAGUUGAAAUAUAUAAUAAGACCAAGAUUUAAAUUAUGAUAUUACAUAUAAUUAAACAAUCGUAAAAUCUUACUACAUCAUUAUUCGUAGAUAUCUUCAUCCCUAUCCUGACGAACCCAUUGAAAUUGUGCACUAGUACUAGGGAUAUUAUCGUUUAAGUUUUGUUCUGGAAAGGGCAAAGUUUCUGAUCUGUCGUCGAUGUUAUCUCUACUUCCACUGCCCAUGUAACUUAUGUAGAAAACUUAUAAAAUUAAUACACAUAAAUUUAUUUCUCCCAAAUUUAGAACACUUAUUUAGAAAACGAAGUAAAUUUAAUACUAAUAAAUUUUAAUACAAAUAAAUUUAGAAAACUUAUUUAGAAAACUUAUAAAUUUAGAAAACUUAUAUAGAUAUUAAAACAAUAUUUACAAUUAUUUAGAAAACUUACAAAUUUUAUAGUAAUAAGUUUUAAAUAUAGGUUAUAUACCCAUACCAUAUAUGGGGUGAUAUAUUAAAAAUAUUGGUUUUAAUAGAUAUUAAAUUAUCAUUUACAAAUCUUUUUUAAUUUUAAAAUGUUAUUAUUACAAAAAAAUGAAAUAUAGGUUAGAAUGCCCAUAUUAAUAUAUGUAAUAUAUAAAAAGAAUAUAAAUUUAAAUAUUUACGAUAUAAUAUUUCUGUCCAAUAUUUUAAUAUUUACGAUAUAGUUUAUUAAUUUAGAAGUGAAAUUGAUAACUUAGUUACAUACUUUGCCAAAAUCAAUAAAUUUUUCACAUUAAACCGAAUAAACUAAUCGCCCAUAAUUUAUUCAAAUACUCUUUACAUAAGUCCUUUAAGAAUUGGGAUAAUCCGAAAUUUAGUAAACUCUGACGAUUGUUUUUGUUUGCGUAAACAGUUCGUCGACACAUAUCAAAUCAUAAUUUAAACAUCGCAAUUAUGUAAUCAGGUAGCUGCAAAGUUAUAAGUAAACAGAUGCAUAUAGGUUGAAAACCAAAAACCUUAAUUAAAACUCCCUUUUAAAACUAAAAAAUAAUAAGUAAUCUAUUAAGCUAAAAUAUAUCCAGGUCAGAAAUUUAAACAUUUGGAUGUGUUUUUGUAAGAAAAGUAUAUAGUAAAACAUAGGAAUAAAUACCUCAAAUUUCCUCAAAAUUGCAUAAACUUCUACAAAAAAUAACAAAACACAACUAACUAAGUACCAAAAAAACAGGAAAGAAGUAAACAGAAGAUUAUUUAAGUACAUUUAUAUUCAAAUCAACUUAAUAUAAAUUAAAUCAAAAUCUUAAAUUGAUAAACUAACUUAGCACCAAAAAACAAGAAAAAAUACAACAGAAGGAAGCAGAAGAUUAUUUAACUACAUUUAUAUUCAAAUCAAUGUAUCAAUUUUAAUUAUCACAACAAUAAACUUAAUAAUAAUUGAUAAAGUAACAAUCAACUUAAUAUAAAUUAAAUCAGAAACUUAAUUUAAACAAAUAUGGUAAAGUAACAGUUACAGGAAGCACAGGAAGCACAGGAAGCACAGUUACAGGAAUUUUAUAGAGAAAAUAAUCGAAUUUCAUUUGAAGCCACUAAAUAUUCCAGAGAAAAAGGAAUUUUACUGAGGUUUAAAAUUUAACAUAUGAAUAUUUCUUCAAACCUAUUAAAAAAAUGAAUGCUUACCCAUGGCAAUAUUUGCAUUUUGUGAUGAAGGACUAUAAAUAACUAGUGUCUUAUCCAUGAUGAUAUUAUCAAAAUAUCAUACUAAACUUGGAACAUGCUACAUGAAACUUGUAGACUUCACUUGAUUAAAAUCAAACAACAUUCAUAUUAAGUCAACCAAACUCAACCCAAUCUAAUUUGAUUAUGAAAAGCCAAAAACCCGAAAAUAACUCAAAUCCAAAAUGGCCAAAACUCAAAAUAACUUAAAACCCGAAAUGAGCUAAACAACUAAUCCAAAAUGACCUAAACCUGAGACGACCUAAUCUGAAAAAACCAACUAGCAGAACUAAAUAAUCCGAGCAGAAAAUGACCCAAACUGAAAUAACCUACACUUAAUUUAAAUAUAAGACCCAAAUAUAAUACUUUUCAAAUAGACCCAAAAUUUAAAAUUUAACAUAUGUAAUAACUCUUAAUUUGUUUCAGUAAUACUCCAUUUCCCCUGAAAUGAAUGCAUAUAAAAUUAACAUAUGUAAUAAACAAAUUAAGAGUUAUUACAUUUGUAUGAUAAUAUCAUCAUUUAAAAUUAACAAAGUGCUAAAUGGUUAAAUCAAAUUUAUAUUUGUUUAUAGUACUAAACUUGAAAUUUAACAUAUGUAAUAACUCUUAAUUUGUUUCAGUAAUAUUCCAUUUCCCCUGAAAUGAGAUAAAUGCAUAUAAGACCCAAAUAUAAUACUUUUCAAAUAGACCCAAAAUUUAAAAUUUAACAUAUGCAAUAACUCUUAAUUUGUUUCAGUAAUACUCCAUUUCCCUUGAAAUGAAUGCUCGAAAAACUCCAUCGGCAACGAAAUUAAAGAAAUUAAAUUUGAUGCUUGCAUAAUAUUUUCUGCAAAUAGCAACUCCCAAGAUAAAAUUCUUUUAACUCAGGCUUUCUAUCCAUAUAUAACCAUUGAAAGAAUUAACAGAAUUGAUUUCAUGGUAAAUACCAGCGAAAUAAACAAAUAAUUCACACCAUAGUUACAUAUAUAAUCAAAACCCUAAAAACCCAAUAUUUCUUCCCACAACCGAAUAAAAUCAGCAAUGCAGGUUAUCAAUCUCUCUACGACUGAACAACUUCAUAAAACCAAAUAAACCUAUAUAACCCGAAGCCUAAAGACGCAAAAAUAGUAACUGGAAGCAACGGGUAAAACCUUACCCAAAAAACUGAAUGUCCUCGACGCUGUCUUUGGAGUAAAUGUUGCGAAGCCUCCAAAUGAAAUGAUCCGGGUAAGGUAACCGAUGAAAUGAUGAAUCGAAAGAAUAAUACCAAUGCAGGGGAUUAGGGAUUAGGAAAAAAAGUUGAAGGGGAUUUAGGGAUUUCAAUGGAGGGCAAAGAAUUUUUCAGAAAUUAGGGGCUGGGUGAGGGAAAGGAAGGGGGAAAACUGCUAACCUAAGCAAAACGACAUCGUCUUUGUUAAGAAUUUUUAAGUCCCCGAAAUGAAACGGUGACGUUCAGGGGAAUUUCUAAUAUGCUAUUGCGGCGAUUUUAGCCAAAACGCCGCUAAAAUCGCCGCUAAAUCUAAUAAAAUUGCGGCGAUUUUUAGAAAAACACCACUCAAAAUUUAAUAUCAAUUAAGAAAACAAUGCCGCUUUCGUUCAAGUUUUGAUAAAUUUUUGUGGCGUUUUUAUUUUAAAACGCAGCUAUUUCAUGCCUUCUAUGGCGUUUUCGAUAGAAACGCCACUAAAAACAAAUUCCCUCUAACCAAACGGCACCGUUUUCUAUAAUUUCUAGUACAUUGUUGCGGCGUUUUUGCUGCAAACGCCACUACUCUUAAAAAUUUUCAAUUACUUAAUAAUUUUAUAAAAUUUACAUUUGAUACAUUAAUAUGCCAUUAUUUUUAAUUGUUAAAUUUUUACAAAUUGAAAUAUUGUUCGAUUUUAAAUUUGAAUUAUGAUGGAAGGCAUUUUAUUUGCUAUUAAAAAUUAAUUUAAUUUUGGUAUCUAAAAAUUUAUAUAAUUCUAUUAUUUAGUAAAUUUAAAUUUUUAAUAAUUCUAUUUAAAUUUUGUUACUUAAAAUUUUAGUAUCUAAAUCCUAUAAACCAUUAUAACCCUUAUAUCCUACAAAACCAUAUACAGUAGACGUACGACCCUAGAUCACAUACCCUAAACAUUAAACCGUAGACCCUUAAACCCUAGGCCCCAACCCUUAAAUCGUAAACCACAAAUUAACUAUAAUGCCUAAACCUUUAACCCAUAUCCCCUAAACAUAUUGAAUCGUAAAACAUUAACUAUAAACCCCUAAACCCAUAACCCCUAACCCCUAACCCUAAACCCAUAACCCCUUAACCCCAACCCUUAAACCAUAAUCCAUAAGCCUCUAACACAUAUCCCUUAAACCUUGAAUCGUAGAACAUAAAUAUAUAAACUAUAAACCCCUAAAUCCAAAACUUAUAAAUCAUAAACCCCCAACUCGUAACCUUUAACCCAUAUCCCCUAAACAUAUUGAAUCAUAAAACAUUAACUAUAAACCCCUAACCCCAGCCCUUAACCUUUAACCCCUAAACCCUUAACCCCAAUCCUUAAACCAUAUCCAUAAACCCCUAAUCCAUAUCCCUUAAACCCUAAAUUAAAGAACAUAUAUAAAUUAUAAACCCUAAACCCUGAUUCAUAGCAUAUAUAUAAACUAUAAAGUGUAAACCACAUCCAUUUAAAAAUAAACAAUAAACAUAACCCCUAAACUGAUAAUUCCUCUAAAGUUCAAAAACAAAAGACUAAAACUUUUUGCGGCGUUUUAAACAAAAGCGCCAGUAUUGGUUGACUAUUCCGGCGUUUCUAUAAAAGCGCCACCAAUUUUUGAGAAGCUGAACAUGGAAACGGUGUCGUCUCACUUAACUCUUUUGCAGCGCUUUCCGAGAAAAUGCCACUAAUUCCUGACUAUUGCGGCGUUUACUAUUAAGCGCCACUAAAGUCUCUAAAAGCUAUAUAAAAACGACAUCAUUUCCUUAACAGUUUACGGCGUUUUUAAACUAGCGCCACUAAAGGCCCUAAAUGCUAAAUAAUAAACGACAUCGUUUGCUUAAUAGUCUUGCGGCGCUUAUGUUAAAGCGCCGCUAAUUCUUCACAGUUUGCGGCGUUUCUACGAAAGCGCCACCAAUGUCACAAAAGCUCAACAAGCAAACGGCGUCGUUUGGCUUAACUCCUUUGCGGCGCUUUUCAGAAAUCGCCGCUAAUUCCUAUAUUUGGUGGCGUUUUUAGACAAGUGCCAUUAAAGUCUCUAAAACCUAAUUUGAAAAUGACAUCGUUUUCUUAACAGUUUUGUGGCACUUCUGAUAAAGCGCCACUAAAGCUUCGUUACUACGGCGUUUUUCGAAAAUCGCCACUAACGUCUCGAAAAGAUAAAUGAAAAAUAGCAACGUUUUCUUAACAUUCUUGCGGCGCUUAUGAUAAAGCGCCGCUAAUUCUUGACUAUAGCGGCGUUUUUCAUUAAGCGCCACUAAAGUCCCCAAAACCUAAACUGAAAACGAUAGUGUUUUUCUUAACAGUUUUUGCGGCAUUUAUGACCAAACGCCGGUAAUUCUUGCAUGUUGCGGUGUUUCUAAGAAAGGGCCACAAAUGUUUAAAAGCUUAACAGGAAAACGGCAUCGUUGAACUGAACUCAUUCGCGGCGCUUCCUAGAAGCGCCGUUAAUUCUUGUCUUCUGCGGCGUUUUUUUAAAAUCGCCACUAAUAUCUCUGAAUCCAAACAAAAAAGGCAUCAUUUGCUUAGCUCUUUUGCGGUGCUUUUAGGAAAGCGCCGCUAUUGAUGACAUUUUGCGGCAUUUAUUUUAGUUCGCCGCUAAUGCUAUAUUUUAUGGAGCGUUUUUUGAUUAAACGCCGCUAUAAACGCCGCUAAUAACCGGUUUUGGUGUAGUGCGAAGAUUUCAUUUCCGUGCAUUGCUUUAAUGGAGAAGCAUGGUUUGUUUCAUUAAGCAGAUCAUAUCCAAUGUUUUAAGUUGAGAUAAUAGGAUUAAACUCAUUCUAUCUGCAAAUAAUUACAAGAAACUUUCUACGGUAUUAAGAGAGAAUCGGAAAUAUGAGAAAAUGAAGUUUGGAAAAAUAUAAGAUCUGCAGUGUCUUUAACAAUUUCCAGUGGCACUAGUAUAAACCCUUAUUACAAUAGCAACGUCGAGUAGACAUAAUAAUAUUAGAUGAAUCUUCUAAAAGAAAGAUUAAUGGGGUAAAAAUUUUGGUCAUAGAGAAUCAAAUGCCCUAGGACAGAAUCCCCUCAACUAAGUUAUUUCAAAGACAAAUGGUUGUGCUUCGGCUAAUUCUAGAACCGAAUUAAAAUGACCUUCAUCGCUAUAUGUAUAUAUGUUUUUUUUAAAUGGUUAACACGAUUAUGCACCGCCAGAACCGUACUUCUUUCCGAAUACGAUCAGCUGGAGCUUAUCGUAGCCCGCAAGCACACCAGCACCGGCGAUUGCACGGAGGAUGUUAGCACCUGCACCUUUAAAGAGAGACUUGGAACCCUCAUUUUUAAGGAUCUCAGAAAAUGCAUGAAUGGAGCUCUUGUAUUUCACGGCUUCACCCGAUGUCAUCAUCAUCCUUCUACGGACAGUGUCGAUGGGGUACGACGCAAGACCCGCACCGUUGGUUAUAACCCAACCCAGAGCAAAGCUAGCAAAGAAGCUAUCCUGAUAUAUUAUCCAAAACCGAAACCACAAAACACCAAAAUGCAUGUGAGGAUAAUCCUUACCUUGAUCCUCUUGUCAGCAUUCAGAAGGCACUUGAGCAGUGAUCUUAAUAUUAUCACUAGAUAGUUGGAAUACUAACCUGCAAUGUUCCAACGAGGAGCACCGGCUUCAAUGAAUCGUACAUUCCAAAGUAAAGACCACGGUAUACAAUGAUGCCAACACAUGAAAUAUUAAAGCCACGGUAAAGUCCAGCAAUACCAUCGGACUUGAGAGUCUUUUUAUAUACAUCAACCAAGCCAUUGAAUUGCCUCUCUCCUCCUUUCUUUGCGGCUUUGGCAUCGUUAGCAAGACGGGUUCGGGCAUAAUCGAGGGAAUAGACAAAGAGAAGGGAAGAGGCACCAGCUGCACCACCGGAUGCCAAGUUGCCUGCAAACCACUUCCAGUACCCAUCACGGUCCUUCCUAAAGUUGAACAGCUUUUUAAAGUAAUCCUUGAAGGCGAAGUUCAAGGCCUGAAGAAAACAAAAACAAUGAUUACAUUAGCGGUGGUACAGCUUGAAAUUAGAACAUGGCUGAAGAAAUUAGUUGCAAGCUAACCUGAGUGGGGAAAUAACGGAUCACAUUAGCCGUGUUUCCUCUCCACAAUGAUAUCAUACCCUCUUCUUUGAUUGUUCUUCUAAAACACUCACCGAUUCCCUUGUAAGGUUCUGAGAGCCGACCGGCCCGAAUCAUCUCAUCCUGGUUUUGGAUUAAGAGCUUCACACGUUCAAUAGGAGCAGCAGCAGUUUUGGACACUGCAGCCGAAACUCCGCCCAUAAGAAAAUCAAUUACAAAACCGGAUGCACCUUUCUCUGAAGGAGCCUGGACACAUACAGGCGAUGAACUUGAACGGACCCAUGACAAAUCAUAGUUUGCUAGGCGUGCUUGGGCCAUGGGAUGCUGCUGUACUGUUGCAUUGCAACGCCUCGGAUGCAGAGUAGGCAUUUGGAAUUGGAAUCUUCCAUGGCGAUAUUCAAUAUCUAGUGAAAGGCCGGCUACCUUUUGCAAGACACAAGGAUGCUGGUGGUGCCUAUCAGCCAUCACUUCACAAGUGAUACAGAAAGUUAAUAUAUCUUUUCUUAAUCAGAAUGAAGAUUCAACAGGAGAUAUGAACAAUAAAGAUACAUAAAAAUAAACGAACAUAAAUUAUAAAGAGAAAAUGAUGUAUGCCAGACUAAAGAACUCACCUGACCAGUAAAAGAAUAUGAAAGGAAAAGAGGAAGAAAGAAAAAGGAAAAUAGAUCAACAAGGUGGAAACAAUAGCGAGAGACAAGUAAAAGAUCCCUGAAAUGGGUUUAUAAGAAGAUAGAAGAAAAGCAAUAAGAGCUCAAAUUGUACAAGAGCAAAACGUAAGCCGAAAUGAAAGCACACCCAUAAUCACCCAAAUAAGAAAAAAAAACAGUUACCAGUGAAACAAACCCACAUCACAUAAUGAUGCAAAUGGCAGAGAAAAGUUAGGAGUUUUCUUUUUUAAAAAAAGAAAAAGAAAAAUGGAGACGGAGAGAUAAAAAGCGAACCUUGAAAUUUGGAAAGAGUUAAAAAGACAAGAGAUAACUGCGGAUAAGCAAUAUGAAAAUGGAGGAGUUUGCGUUUGGACAGAGAUUUUAUACGCGAUGCAACAGAGCCGUUGGUUACGCAUAUGAUAAUAUGAUUUUGAAAGGCUGCUUCCAAUUUCACCAUGGGAAACCUUUUUUCAUGCUCAAGUGAAAGGGUGCCAAUGUACUUUCCUUAAUUUACUUGGGGGGAAAAUUAACGUAAUUUACCAUUUUUGCAAAAAUAUAUUUGGUUUCUUUUCUCUUUGCGUUAAUAUAUAUACAAUUCUCAAAUUUAGAAAUUUAAUCAAUAUAUUUUUAUUUCAUGAAAUCUAGUUAUUUUAUUUUUUAGGUUUUAAUGUUUAACUUCAAUUAUUAAUACUUUUAAUUUUUUUUGUUAAAUUUAAGUUAAUUACAAAGUGAUUUUUUUAAUUAUAUGACUACCAAGAGUAUUUUUUUAUUUCAAAAAUGUCAUAACAACAAAUUUAAUAAAAAUAUUUAAUGGGGUUAAUAGUUGGACCUGAAAUUUGAAAACUGAAAAAUAAAAUGAUUAAAUUUCAUGAAAUAAAAGUUCAUGUGCUGAAUUCCUAGUUUUUGAAUAGUACGGGAAAUUAUAACAUAGUUUAACCUAUAUAUAAAUAUAGAAGUAUAUGAAUUUGGCAAUUUAUUGAAUUUUUUUGUUUUAAACGAAUUAACCAACCGAAUCGAUUUACUUCAGUUAAUCGGUCAGUCACCAAACUUAAUUCAAUCAGAAGUUGGGUAAAGAUUUUUAAAAUUUUUGAGUAUUGUUAAUUCGAUUUGAAACUGAGUAAUUAACUGAUUUAAUUAAUUAAUCGAAAGUAUUAAUAAUAUAUUAUAGGCCCAAUGUACUAGAGAUAAGUUCAAAUAAAUAUUUGUUAUUGUGUUAUUUGUUUUUUUUUUCUUUUAAACUUCUUUGAAUUUAAAAGAAAAAAAAAUUAUCAUGGAUUUUUUUAUGAUUUAAACUUUUAUGAAAAAAAUGUAUAAAUUUUGGUUAAUUCAAUUAACCGUCCGAAUUAACCAAAACCAAUUCGGUCAGUUAAUAUUUUUCAAAAUAAUUUCGAUUCAGUUAAAGGUUUCAAAAUUUCAGUUAAUUCAAUUAAUGGUAAUUUGAUUCAAGUAUUAAUCGCACCAACCAAUUGAACACCCCUAACUUAUAUCUAUUUGGUAUCUAACUUUUUUUUUGGACCUAACCGAUACCUAAAAUUAGAAAUCUUAAUUCAACUUGAUACUUUUUUUAGGUACUUGACUAAAACUGUUAAAAUACAUUGAUGUGGCGCUAACGGCCAGUAACAUGUUGACAUGUGGUAGUAUCACAGUUUGACACGUAGCAAAUAAUAAAAACAAAAAAACUAUUAAUUUUUUUAAAAAUUAUCAUGUGUCAAAAUGUGAGGCUACCAUGUGUCACCAUGCUACUGGUCAUCAGGUGCCUGAAAAAAGUAUCAAGUUGACUUACGAUUUUCAAGUUUAGGUACCAAUUAGGUACAAGUUACCAAUUUCAAGUACAUCCAUAUAUAUUAACCCUUUCUCUUUUUGUAGGCUUAAAUAUAAAAUUGCUACUUAAACUUGUCAACUUAUCCUAAAUUGGUACUUAAGGUUUUUUUUUUGUCUCGGCACUCGAAUUUUUUUUUGUCAAUUAAAUUGGUACUUUUUUUGUAACACCAUUAAGUUCAGGAUAAAUAGUAGAAUAGAAUUAUGACACGUGGCAUUAAUGACAUUAUGAUUAUGUCAUAAUCUAAAAAAUAUAUUAAAAAUCAAUAAAGAUAUUUUUAAAAACUAUUUCACUUUCUUCUUCUUCUUCGUCUCUCCUCCUAUUCUCUCUCUCCCCCCUCCAUGGAUCCUUUUGGUACUCUUCCCUACAUUCCCUCACACAUUUUUGCUUCCUUUCGGGCCUUUGUUCUUGAUGUUGGCAACGCUGUUGACUCUAUGGAAUCGCCUUGCUAUUAUUGUUGUUCUUCCUCGUAUUGUCUCUAGCACCUUUGUUUGCACUGUGUACACUGCCCUGAUGGCCAGCGGGGGAUUCAAUAUAGCAACAUACAUUUGUUUGUGCUGCGCAUUCCCACUGGACUAGACGUGUGUUAGUUGUAGGAAGUAUGGUUUCGAAAGUGACUUCAGUUUGCCAGUUCAGGCUCAACUACUCGUUUUAUGUUAGCGAACCCAUAGGUUGGGCCGUGACAUUGCACUCUUUCUUUCUGUGUGGGACGAUGCCAGGGAGCUGUUGGCACUCUCAUUGGCAUUCCUGGUAUCUCUGAGGAUCUUCUGGCGGUGGCGGCCUCACUCUUCUCUCUCACGUUGUUGCUCCACCCUAAACUUUAGGUUGAAUUCUUGGAAAGCCAACCGGCGAUUUGAAGAGAGGUGGUGGAGAGGAGUGUUAUGAUGGUGCCUAAUCGAAGCUCCGAUAGCUGUAGCCGACGGUGGCUAGGGUUCAUUCAGGGGAAGAAGAAAAAAUAAAAGAGAAAAAAGAAAAAGAAAAGGAAAUCUGAAAGAAGAAAAAGGAAAACCGAGAAAAAGAUUGAUAAUUUUAGUAUCUCCAAAGUUAAAAUAUUUAACAACUUAAAGAAAUAAUUAAAGAGCUAAUAUUUUUUUUGGUUGAAAAUAAAGAGUUAAUUGUAAAAUACUUAAGGACAAAUAUGGUAAAGUAUUUCCUCUCAUUUCCCCUAAAUUGAGUAUUAAAAAAAAAAAACAAACAAAAGUAAAGGUAGGGAAAGUCUCUCUUGAUAAAAAUAAAUUGUCCAAGCAAAGGAAAAGAAUCAUUCUUUCCUCACUUGAUUUAGCUUUCCCUAGAUUUUUUCUAAUCCAAACACUAUCAUAUUUAAUAGGUUAACGUAAAUAUAUAAAUCAUAAUCUCUUAUUUAACUCUCUAUGUUAUAUAUUUAGCAAAUAUUGUAUAAUUUCUAUAAAUUAUGAAUUUGGAGAAAAUUUUGAAUUAAUUAGAAUAUUUUUAAUAGCCCAUUAUAUUAUUGAGCUAGUUUCUUUCUUCUGCUAUGCAUAAAUUAAUUGUAUGUUUUUAUUAAAAUAUAAUUUAUUUUUAAUUUAAUAUUAAAAAAAAUUAAACGAAUUGAUGGCACGUAGAAAAAAUAUUCAAAGUAAGAACAUAUGUCAAAAAUAAAGAAAUUAAAAUACUAUUCUUUAAAAGUAAUUUUAUACAAUAUUUGCACUCAUUUUUUUAGAAUUUUUAAAAUUUAAAAUUUAUAUUCUUUUAUUUUAAAUUUAAAUUUCAAUCAAAUAAUACACAUUUUAUGAUAAUUUUUAAUUUUAAUGAAAUAAUUAAAAAUAAAUGGCUUAAAUAGAAAUUUGACCCUCAAUCAUAGUGCUUUUCCUAUUUAGAUACACAAUUUUUUUUUGUCAAAUGUGAUAUGGUUCUCUUAUAAUUUUUAAAAGAAUUUUUUAACCAAUUAAAUUACUAACAUGUGACAAAACAUUUAAUUAAAUUUAAUAUUUUUUUCCUUUUUUUCCCUCUCUCCCUUUCAUGUUUUUUUUCUUUCAUCUUCUGUCUCCUUUUCUCUUUCCAUCAAACUCUCUUUCUCUCUCCUCAAAACAGGGCGUAGGGGACUGGCAAGGCCUCCUAGAAUGGAAAUUUAUUUAAAUUCUUUAAUAUUUUUAAAAUUUUAAAUUAAUAAAAGUAAAUUGAUAAAAUUUGAUUUAAUCCUUUAAAAGUUAUAAAGAUAUAAAUUAUUAAAAUGGUAAAAUUGUAUGUAAAAAUACAUUAACAAAAUUUUCUAAUUUCACCCAUGCCUCAAAGCUGUCCACCAAACCAUCGCCUAAUUCUUCGAAAUAACUCUAAUAUUAAUUAUAUUGGUAGUAAAAUAUAGUAAUAAGAACACUGAAUGCUAUCAAAAUGGCUUAAUUUUUCUACCUAAUGAUUAUAACAGUGAUAUAAUAACCUGAUAUAUAUGUACAUAUUCAUGAUGCAAUCGUGUAUAUAUAUGAAAUAAUAUAUCUUGAAUCGUAUAAAUAUUCCCUAAGACAAAAAGCUCUUGAAUUUCUUAUGCCUUAAAAGAUUUCCCAUUAAUGUAAUAAAAUUGUAAUAGGCCAAAUUCAUCCUGCCCAAACCAAACCAAACUAAAUAAUAAUAAUAAUACCAAAAAAGAGUCCAUUAAUUAAAAAGGUCCAGUCCAUUUACAAAUUCAAUUACCCAAAUUCAUUUACUAACCUAACUCUAAAAGCCCAAACACCUAAAGUUUAAUAGCUCAAAUCUUAAACUAAACAAAGAAAAAACCCUAAAAGUCCAUAAACCUCCAGCCACCGCUCCCCUCACCACGUCAGCAGGCAUGCCAUUUGAGGCUUGACAUCGCCGCCUCAUCCUUACCACCACCACCUACAGAGGACAGAGAAAUAGAAGCAGAGAGACAAAAAGGAAAAAGACAAAAAUAAUAUGUUGUAUUUUAAGGUAUAAAAAGCCAAAGAACAACUUGUAUUUUUUUUCUUUUACGAAGAAAUUUAACAGAGAAUCUCGAAAAAAAAAACGAUCAAGUUAAAAAGGUGUUUUUUUUAUUUCAAUAUGCUAUUUUUAUUUCUAUUUUCUUUUCUUUUCUUUUCUUUUCUUUUUUUUUCAUAAAAAAAUAAAACCAAGGUUUUAAAAAAGAGGGUAGUCAAUUUUUUUACUUUUUAUUUCAAAAAAUAUAAAAAUAAGAAGGUUUAAAUUUUUUUACCUACAACACUCCAUUUUUCGUCGCCCUGGAAGGCCGACUUCAGUCCAGAAGCCUCUGAACCCAUUAGGGUUCCAUCGAGGCUCAUCGAAAAAGGAGAAAUCGAAAAGUUUCCACAUCGAGGUUUGAUUGAGUUUUUGGGGUUAAAAACCCCAUAUUGGCAUCCUAUGUGAAGAAAGGAGUUAAAAAGGGUAUCUUGGGUAUUUUUCGGCCACCGGAGGUGGCGGUCGUCGUCGCCGAUGACCGAUGGCUAUGAUGGCAUUGGGAUCGGAGGGGGGAAGGAUUUUAGAGAGAAAAAAAAGGAAAGGGAAUAUUUUAAAAAAAAACUGAUAAAAAUUAUUUUUUAACAUUUUAACUUAUAUAGCCCCCUCAAAACGACGUUUUGGGCUUGACUUUAGACGCCAAAACAACGUCGUUUCAAGCUUGACCUGAUGACUCGAUUCGGAUCCUCCCAGGAUCCGCGUGUUUUCAAAGGGAGGGUCUAUUUGCAGUUUUUGUCCUUCUGCCUUCUUGCUCCUUUUCAAUUUUGUCCUGUGCCUUUUAUUUAUUUUAUUUUUUACCCCUUAAUUUCAUUUUUUUUAAAUCAGUCCCUUGACCCACUGUUGACCCACUAAAGGAAUGACACAUGUAUAGGGGCUGGGAAAAUAACCCUAUAAUUCCCUAUACUUUUCAAUUUUAUUUUAAUUCAAUCCUUUGUAUUCUAUUUUUUUAAGAUUUAUGCUUUAAAUUUUGUUACAUAUUCAAUUUAGUCCUCAGAAUAUCGACCUUUUGGGGAAUGACGUGUAUUGGGUUUGGGUUCUUUACCCUUUUGGUCCUUGCCUUUUAUUUUUUAUUUUAACCCUUUUAUUUACUAUUUUUAUUUAUUUAUACUUGAGGUUCUGUCACAGUUUCAAUUUAGUCCCCUAUUCAUUUAAUUGAGUCCCUGUACUUGCUGUUUUUUUUGCCUUCGAAUUUCCUGAUUAUUUUAUUUUGGUUCGUUAUUUCUAAUUAUUGAUACUAUUAAUACUAUUAAGUAAUUAUCGUUGCUAAUCAAUAUUAUUUUUGUUAAAAUUUGCUGUAACACCCCAAAACCCGGCCCAGAAGUUUUGACCAGAUCUCGGAGGUCACAUUGACCACUGAAGUGAUCUAAUAGCAAUUUUACAAAACGAACUAUUAACAUCUCAUUUCAAACACAGUUGACUAAAUUCGAACUAAACUGUUUAAUCCUUAAGGAUUCAAAAACUAAAAAUUUAAGUUACGUUAAAAACAUUCAAAAAUAUAAUUUGUAGUUUCUAAAAUUCAGUCUAAAAUAAAAUUUUACAACACAUUUCAUAUAAAACAUUUACAGUCCAAAACAACUUAACAAAAUAAGAACUAAAGCAAACUUAUUAGCUUGAUUUAAAACGUAUCAUUCUGAGACCUCCAGUAUGCCAAGUCCAGCUAUGGAACACGAGAGUACCUGAAAGGGAAAAAACUAAGGGGUGAGCUACGCGAGCUCGGUGUGAGUCUGAAUUCAAACAAAAGAAAUUGAUAAAGUAGCGUAGCGAGUAACUCUGAUAUGUGUACACAGACAGAGAACGAACAACUUAAAUCAAAAUGUCAAUAAUAAAUGAAACAUAGCGUCAUUAAUCUUAUCACACCAAUGCAGAUACACGUCGAAUUAUUUAAAUUGCUAUAUAGUUAAUUCCUCAAACAUACAGACAGGCUUAUACCCAUAUGUGAAGUGAAUGCAUCAAGUCAAAGAACCCUUCCCAUCAACCGAACACCUUUCUGACCCCCUACACACCACGAAUGAGCUAUAGAAAGCCCAACCAACCCUGCACACCAUAUCGAAUCUUGAAAGACCCAUUAACCCUGCACACCAUAUUCGUGGAACUAAGCCACUAGAAAUCACAAUAUACAGCUGAGCUGACAUAUAUAGAAUCACGCGGUAAACCGCUAUUCAGAAGUAUUGCAGUUGGACUAUCGAACCAGACUCCCUUCUCUUCGCAACCAAAAACCCCAAUUUUAUGCGAAUAUAUGAAUGUACACAACAUGAAAGUAGUUAUACAGAAACCAGAACGCACAUACAUGAUCGAUCAGAUUUAGAAUCAGUUUUGAUUGUAUUUAUUUACUAAGUAACAUCACAUAACAUUUAAAGAAACUAUUUAAUUGAUUCCAUAACUAUGAACAAAUGCACAAAUCCGAGCUGAAAUAGAGUCCCAACCAACCUUACGAAGGCCUAACCAAGGGUCGAAACACGCUGAAACACAAAAUGAGUUUAAAAGUGACUCAAACAAAAAUCUGCGAAACAGGGACACACAGCCAUGUGCCUUGGCCAUGUCGAAGUGCCUAGGCCGUGUGGAGGUCUACACGCCCAUAUGGUGGUCUACACGCCUAUGUGGAAGGAACACACGCCCAUGUGACCGAGUUACAUGGCUGUGUGAGUAGCCCGUGUAACUCACUAUUCGAAAUUUAAAAUUACAUGCAGAGCAAACACGGCCAUGUGGAAAUCUCACACACCCAUGUGAAAUUCAAAAAAAUCCUAAUAUCGUAGCCACGCGGUCGUGUGAUCAAACUGUAUAGCACCAAAAAUCACCCAAAAACCUUAAUUCCCAAUUUCACACGACCGUGUGAACCACCCGUGUGCGACCACUCGUGUGGCCACGAAACCACACCAAAACAGGCUAAAAAAUAUGCUUUUGGCAGUGAAGCAGACCCUAACCUUUGGUAACUCAGAGAUAUACCAAAACGCACAGAAUUUUAUGCAGUUCAAUAUUGAAAUUGAUUAGUUUCAGAACACACACCUGAUUCGCGAUAAAAAACACCAAGACUGAUUGAUUCGCUCCUACCACACCGUUCGAAAACUUCAAUUUCACACACAACUACACUAUAAGAAUUCCAAUUCAACAACAAAAAGAAAACGAAAACGAUUCUAUCAAUAGCCCCAAAAACAAACCCUACCUUCUUCGAUUCUGAUUAAACAAACACACAAGGGCAAAACUCCUUUGACAGACGAAAAGUAACGAUAAAAUGGGAAAAGCAAAGAAUCAAAAGAAACUAAUUUUUUGGAGAAGAAAGAAAAAUAGAAAAGUUACAGAAGAACAAAGUGGGAAAGAACGUGCAAGGAAAUGGGGAAAAAAAGUGAAACUUUUGAGUUUUGGAAUAAAAACAAAACAAAAUAAAAAUAAAUUUAAAUUUAAAUUUAAAACUUAAAACCAAUUAAAGAUAUAAUAAAAAUAUUUCCCCGAAACACACAUGAGAAAUCAAACCCAGAACCCAGAGGUAAACUAAUUCACAUCCAACCACCGAACAAGUAGGCUCAUUCUGACAUUAAAACACAACUACAAACUCAAUUGCUCAACCUACUCACUGACCCUAACUACAAACCUCAAAACGUCUAACCCCAAAAUCUGGGAUGUUACAUCUUCUCACAAAUCAAUAUUUUAUGAACAUGAUUAUAUUUUCAUCGUACAUUUUUUAUAUUAUUUCACUAUUGUUAUUAUUAUUCUAUAGUAUUAUUUUUUAUCAUUAUUUUUAUUAUUGUACUCAUUAUAUUAUUGUCAUUUUAUUUGAUUAUUUAUGUUGUUAUUUUGUUAAUACCAUAAUUUUAUUAUUUAUAGAGAGAGAUUGAAGAAUCCUGAUUGAAUUAGUAGAGUACAAAUAAUAUUUAUCUGAUAGAAAGACAAGCCCCCUAAUUCUACUAGGAGAGAGGAGCAGCUAACCCUAGUUAAUUAUACUAGGGUUGUCGCUCCUCAUACUUAUUAUGAGGGGUUUUGAGCAACUUCUAUAUUGGGUUCAAUUAUAUAUGCUUCUUAGACUUUUAACCUAACACUUUAUAAUUUAAUUCAACCCAAUACAUGUUUUUCUAUUUCCCAAAAUAAAUAUUAUUUAUUAAAUUAUUUUAAAUAAAUGAAUUUUUCAAUUAGAUAAUUUUCUCAACCCAAUUCUAGUUCAAUUAAAGUUAUGACAACUUUACAUAAAAUAAUUUGUGAGAAAAUAUAUUUAAUUUCCAUAUUCAACGAAUUCACAUGACCAAUUAAUUUAAUUUCAUUUUUCAAAUUUAAUUAUUUAAUUAAAUAAUAAUUUAAAAAACUUCAAUCAAUUCUUAGGUCAUUUCCAUACUUAAUGAGAAACCACAUUCAUUUCCGAAUGUAACUCAUUUCUCUAAUUAAGUUUUAUCUUUUCUCUUAUUAAUUAUAAACUUAUUUAGUCACAAAGACAUUCUACUAUAGUAUCGUGACUAAGCUCUCUCCAAUUACAUACCAUUAUGAAAGCUACUCGAUCAAUGUUUGUCUAAUGACCUUGUCAUAAGUGUGUUGUCCACAUAGGAUAUCUUUAAUCUCUUUGGGAUAAAUUCGUUCUCCUAAUAUGAUUCUAUUUUAUCUCAUGGUAACCAUUACAUUUUCCCUUCAUGAAAAGUCAAUUACUAUCACAUAGUAAAUAAGUCAUUCAUUACAAAGACAAAUGACUCGUGGUCAUGUUUACUUUUCAUCUAUCAUGUAAUGCCAAUGAGAGGAUAUUAGUUAUCUAUUCCUGGGGCUAUGAAUUUCACUAUUGUGAAUAAUGUACAUACUGUAGAAGUCGUAUACCCAAUGCACUAGCUUUCGGUUCCUUAUUUAUUUGUACUCAGGCUUUUACUUAUAUUAAAAUAUACAAGAUACACAUACAUAUUCCACCAUCCACCAAGGAUUAAGGUAUGUCACACUAUGAACGUCAUAAGUAAAUAAAUUCAUAAACGAGUUUAGGAUCUAUUUUACUUGGGUUUUAUCCAUUGUACUGUCAAUUCAGUUAGUCACAUCUAUAUCUCUAUCUUUUGGGAGUCAUUUGCCCUGAUGCUCAAGACAAAACAUCUCACCAAUUGGACUUGAUAAACAUUAUAUUAGUCUGUCAAUCGGUUUGCUCAUUUCCGAUUAGACUAAGGACAUGUUUAGGUUCAUUUACUAAUAUAAGUUGUCUUUCCAUAUUACAAUUUGACCACGUAAUACCACUUAGUAUUAGUUAAACAUUAGAUAACAAAUGAGCUAAUUUUGCUUCCAUUUUGCUUUACGUGCAAAAAUCAUUAAGGACAAUAUACAUAGAGUUUUAAUGUAAUUCAAAGAUAAUUUUAUUAAACCAAUCUUUUUGAAAAGUACAAGUGUACAUAGAAGGAAAUACUACACUUAGGGCACCAGAUCUAACAUCUAGACGUGGCAAACCCCAACUAAAUUUCUUAGCCCUUCCAACCUUAAAGCUUCCAAUGGUUUGGUGAACAACUUCGCCAAAUGAUUAUCUGUUUUCAUAUACUUUAACUCGACCUUUCCUUCUUCAACAAGUUCUCUGAUGAAAUGGUAAUGAAUGUUAAUGAUUUUGGUCAUUAAGUUUUGAACAAGAUUUCUUGAAAUGUUAAUUGCACUUGUGUUAUCAUAGAAAACAGUGGCCAUUGAUGUUGCCACACCAUACUCUGCAAGCAUUUGUUUCAUCUAGAGAAUAUGUGCACACCAGAUUGUAGUUGUUAUAUAUUCUGCCUCAGCUAUAGAAAGUGAGAAGGAGUUUUGUUUCUUGUUGUACCAAGAAACUAAAUUUGAACAAAGGUAGAAGCAACCACCAUAUAUGGUUUUUUUAUCAUCCACGUUCCCAACCUAAUUUGUAUCAUUGUAGCUUACCAAAUACAUAAGACUAUCUUUAGAUAACCAAAUACCAUAGUCUAGAGUGUCACUGACAUACUUGAUCACCCUUUUAACUACUGUGACCUAGGAUUCCUUUGGAUUGGACUGAAUUGGAGCCGAGCACACACAUUCAUAGCAAAGCUAAUGUCUAGUCUUCUUGUUGUUAAAUACAAUAAACUCCCAAUCAUACUUCGAAAUAUGCUUGGUUCUAUGGGCACCCGUUCAGCAUCCAAACUAUGUUUCUCACUAGUUGACAUAGAUGCCUUAGCAAAGUCUAAUCCAAACAUUUUGACAAGGUUCUUAGCAUAAUUUUCUUAGGAUAAGAACAUACCAUCAUUGAGCUGUUUAAUUUGAAAACCAAGGAAAUAGGACAGUUCCCCAACAAGGCUCAUCCCAAACUCAUUUUACAUCAUCUUCAUAAAUCCAUCCUUUGCAUUGAUUAAAGUUUAUCCAAAGAUUAUGUCAUCGAAAAAGAUUUGUGCAAUGGCAAUAUUGCCUCGAUGUUUCUUGAUGAACAAAGUUUUAUCCACUAAUCCCCUUUAAUAACCUUGACCUAGAAGAAAUUGUGUUAACCUCUCGUACUACGCCCUAAGUGCCUGUUUUAGGCCAUAAAGAGUCUUCCUUAACCUAUAGACAUGCUCUAGAUGUGUUGAGUCUUCAAACCCCUUUGGUUGAGCCACAUAGACUUCUUUCUUUAAGUAGUCAUUCAAAAAGGCACUCUUCACAUCCAUUUGAUACAGUUUGAUGUUCAAAUGUGUGGUCGUAGCUAAAAGUAACCUUAUUGCCUCUAAUCUAGUAACAAGGGCAAAAAAGUCUCAUCGAAGUCUAUUCCUUCAACCUGUGUAUCCCCUUGAGCUACCAAUCUUGCCUUGUUCCUUGUAAUGCAACCAUUUUCAUCAGUUUUAUUCUUAAAAAUCCAUUUAGUACCAAUCACAUUGUAGUGGAUUGGCUUAAGGACCAACUCCUAGACUUGAUUUCGCUCGAACUGUAAAAGCUCUAAACCCUAAAAGCUCUUCUUGUAUUGCCUAGAUCCAAUCAACAUCCUUUAAGGCAUCUUCAACCUUCUUAGGCUCAAUUCGAGAAAUAUAACAUGCCAAUCUAAUCAUAUCCCUAUAAUUAGGCCUUGGUUUUCGAGCACACUUUGAAGGUCACCUAUAACAUCAUCAUAUGGAAUUGUUCUUCCCAACUCUUACUAAAUGUUUAAUAACUUCAUUUUGCAUCAAUAGAAUCACUAACUUCAUCAAUAUUCAUGACUUUAUGUAUUUCUAAAUUAGAUUGCUCGAUCACCUUUUUUGUGCUAGUAAUAUUAAUUCAUAUAAUUGGAUAAAUUGUACAUAUAUAUUACAUAUAUUAUUAAUUAUAUAAUAAGUAAUUUAAUCAUGCAUGUGGAUUUUUUACUUUCAUGCUUUUUUUCGUAUUAAGUAUAAUAAAAGAUGAUUAAUAUUGUAAAUUAUAAUUAUUUUAUCAAUACUGUUUUAUAUAAAAUACAAAAUGAUUUUAAAUAUUUAUUAAUAAUUUUUUUUAUUAUCGACAAUUUAUGUUAAUUAUAAUAAACGUUAAGCCUUCUUUUUAGUGAUAUGGAAAAACAUGGGUAUGUAUAAAAAUGGAAAAAAAAAUCCAUAUGAGAUUUGAUUAUGCUAGGAGAAAAAAAAACGUAACUUUUAUUUCGUUUCUUUGUCCAUUCUACCAUGAAUAAAGUUUUAGAAACAUAAAAUUGGUUUUUUUUAAUAAAAUUUUCCAUUAUUAAAACAUGCCUUCAAAAUUCGGGCUUUAAUUCAAAUACUUGUUACAUUUUCAUUAAAAGUUAAUGUUCAAUUAGUUCCAUGUUUUUUUUUUUUUGGAUUUUUAUUUUUUUUCACUUUUCAAUUCUUUUAAACAUUUUUAGUUUUUUUUAAUUGAAAAUUUAACAACUUUUAUAAUUUUUCAAAAUAUUUUUAAAACUUUUUAAAUAAAUUUUUUCAUUUUUUUUUUGAAAUUAUAGUUUUGAUUUUUUUUCAAUUUAUUUUAAAAUUUUAAAUCAUUUAUGUAAAAUUUUUAAGAUAAUUGUUCUAAUUGAUGAAGUGAUAUUUUUUUUUUAAUUUUUGACUAAAAUUAGGAAAUUUUUUUUUUUGUUUAUCUACAUGUAGAUUUAAAUGGUGCAAUCAUCCAUAUUUGAAUCCUCUUUAAGAAGAGGAAAUCCAAUGACAGUGACAAUGAAACAUGACCAUGAUCUCCCUUCUCGAUGAUCCCAUCUGCCAGCGUACUACCAUCAGCCAUCCUACCACCAUCAACUACCACGACCAUAAUCGGAUUCCAAGAGGAAAAUAAAUAAAAAAUUAUGCUUCGCGUUCCUUCUAUAUUGCUGUCUUGAGUCCAUGGUCAAACCUCAUGGCCUAAAUCAGUCAACAUGGAAGGAUUCGGAACAAGGAUUGCAGUUCGCUAAAUCGUUAGAUGAAAUGCCGUCGUUUUAUGACCCGAUCAGGUAUAUUAAUAAUUUUCCCUCUAAUAAUUUAUCUCUUUGAAAAUAUUUAUUUUUUCUGUAGAUAAGAUGUUAUUGUUUUUGGCUUAUAGAUAAGCAAAAUUAUAAAAAUAAAAAAGAUUUUUUUUAAAAUUAAAAUCUACUUAAAACUGAAAGACCAAAAACAACAAUGCUUAAUCUGGGUUAAAAUUUUUUAGGCUAUGAAUGAAUUAAGAACAAACUUAGGGCUUCAAAAUUUUAAUUCAAAAUGAGCAUUUAGUCUCUCAAAAAGCCAUAUAGAAGGAAGGAACUUGAAGCAUAAUUUCUAGUUUAUUUUUCAUGGUCAUAGUAGUUAGUGUCAGUAGGGUGGUUGGUGGUAUUAUAUUAGUAGGUGAGCUCGUCGGAAAGGGAGAGAUCAAGGUCAAGGUCAUGAUCAUGGUUUGUGGUUGUUGUUGGAUUUUCUUUUCUUAAAGAAGAUUUAAGUGUUGAUGAUACCAUCAUUGAAGUUUUCAUGUUGUAAAAAGAAAUAGUAUUUUGGACUAAUUAUUGGGAAGUCCUUAGCUUUAGUCAAAAGUAAAAAAAAAAAUAUCACGUCAACAAUCCAUUAGUGAAUUAAUGAAAAUUUUAACAAUAGUGACCGAUUAGAACAAUUAUCUUAAUUAGAGUUACUAAAUUGACUAAAAAAUUUAUGAUGACUAAAAUAAGAACAAUACUAUUUUAAGAUUACUUGCGGUGUAAUUUACCCAAUAUAAAAUAAUAUUACAUAAGCAAUGAAAGAUUGAUGACUAAUGUACUCCAAAUAAGAGUAAGAGCCAAAUUUAAAGAAUGUAUAAAGAUUAGUAGCUAAAUUUGUGAUUAUGUCUUAUAAAUAAGACUCCAAAAUAAGCAUUUAAUGAUACACUUUUUUUUUUUUGACAAGAGUAAAUUACUGUCGCAUACAUCACUAAUAGGAAAUUCUUCUGAUUCUAACCCGCAACCUGAAUAAGUGAGCCAAAUGUUUAGUUGAAUGACAAUUUUAUUAUUAUAAUAAAAAGGACUAUUUUGUACAUUUAUCUGAAAUACAAGGAUGAAUAUAUUAUUCUUUCGGUAGAGAAAUUAAUAUUCACUAAAAUUAUUACAAAUGGAAUAUAAAUUUUAAAUAAAAUUUGAAUAUACAAAUAUUUGUAAUUUAUAAUUCAUACAAGUCAAAGACAGUUUUACAAAUUAGCAUCUGAAUUUUCUUUUAAAAAAACUGGUUUGAGAAAAUCUAAAACUAAUUGCUUUAACAUAGUUGGAUCAAAAAGCUCAUAAAGCGUACGUAGGUUAGUGAAAGGAAAGGCGAAAAAUAAAUUUUUGAUAAAUUCAGCUCAACGUGCAUUACCUCUCCAGAUUAACAUGCUACUUUACAUAUAUGGAAAAAGAGCAAGUCUGACUUUUAAGUGUGAUAGGAGAACUAUUAAUGGCUGCACAUAUCAAUCUGACUCUGUCUAUCAAUGCCAAGUGAACCUACUUCCACUACUUUUCGCCUCAGUUGCAAUAUACUCUGCUCAUUCUCCAUCCUCCUCCUUUCCUUCUCCAACCUUAACCUUUCCAGUUCUCUGUCUUUCUUGCUGCAGUACUGCACCCACUUAAACCGUUGUUUUUCCAGCUCAAAAGCUUCUGUCUGCAACUUCACUCUUUCCUCCUGAAGUUGCACCAUCUGUCUCUUUAUCCGAUCCUUUCCCACCAUUGAUGACCUUGUUCCCUCUUGAAACUUGAAACCAUCCUGCCCACCACACUCUGCACUUGCUUUCUUCCUCUCCUUCACCUCACCCAUCCUUUCCUCCUCACAAACAGCAUAAUCGUCGUCAUCGUCGUCGACAUCAUUAUCAUCAUCAUCCUCACUGUCAGCUUCUUCCUCAUCGGACCCGUUAUUGUCUAAGCAUCUCUCAGAAGGUAUACAUCCCUGCAGAUCAAGAUCCUGACAAUUGGGUAUACUCUGUCCAUUAUGGUAAGCACACAUUUCCUGGUAAAAUAAAUGUUUAGAGUUCAAUAUUUUCUUUACAUCAUCCUUCGCCUUUUGGGAGAGGUGAGGCAUAGAGUCCAUUAGAGAAUGGUUCUCCACCACUCUACAACUAGUUCCUCUCCCAAGAAUAUCAUUCAAUUUCUUAUAUCUCUUGUUCAAGUCAUUGAAUUUAUCCUCACACUGUUGAGGUGAAACAUGACAACCUUUACUAAUCAUAAUCUUGGAUACCGUUUUCCACUUUUCCUUCUUUUGCAGAAUCCUGGAUUUUCGCUUAAGCCCCUCCACACCUUCUUCAUCUCCCACACAAGAAACCACAGCUAUUAGAAGCCUAACCACAUUGUCCUUCCAUUUCAUUCUCUUCCAUGGCCAUCCAUUCUUGCCUUUGCACUUCUCACGAUUUCCAUCUUCGUUGUAACUUGGUUCAUCUUCGUCACUCAUGCUUCCAUCAGUUAUAGCUAUCACCGGACUAAUUCCCUUCCCUUUACCAAAAUUCAUCGGAAAACCUUUCUGGCUUGAGCCUUUUGCUUCCGUUAAUCCAGUGGAGCGGUGCUCGUUUCCGAGGUCAGUCAUCAUGACCAUAUGAUUCUGUGGCCGCUGCUCUCUCUGAAUGGGUGACUCAAGAUCAAACAACCCUCCAUUCGGACCUGAUAAAAAUCCGCAUUCCAAACCCGAAUCAUCCAUCUACGCCGAAAUCCAAACACCCAAUUUAUCGUUUCCUUGCAGGAAAAACAAGCUUAAAGUUCCAUUGUUUAUCUAUUGCUGGAAUAUUCAAUAAAACAGAAACCCAACCUCACAGACCUGAUUCAAUUCGUUGCGGUCAAUCAAACCAAGUUUCUCUCUUAGAUCAACCAGGAAAAAAACCCUAAAAAGCUAUAAGUUUUAACACCUACCUUAUUCUUACAAACCAAACGGAAAAAGUACCAAGAAACUGGGGUGGACUGAAAAUUUAUGACCUAUUAUCAUAUAAAUAUCCCAAGAAUCCUCCGAAGCUCUAGAAUCCCAUAUCUAAUCACGUCCGAAAUUCAGCGAAGGCCAAUAAAAUCAAUUAAAAUCCUCAACAAGAUCAAAAAAGGGAAAUUUUCAACUUUUAUUGUACUGUUUGACAAUCUAAAGAAGAAUAACGGGAAAGCUACAAAAACUUGAACAAAUGAUUUUGAUCAUCGUAUUGAAGAAAAAUAAGAAAAAUUCAUGAAAGGAUUACCUUCUGCUAAUGAUCAUCAAUCGAGAAAUUCAUCAGAAAAGGCAAAGAGACCUUUUUUUUUUUUCUCUCUUUUGGGCGGGGGGUCUGGAAGAGAUUGAAAGCUAAUUUUGCGCUGAAGUUGGGAAGAGUAAGAGAUGAAUAGAAUGUGGCAAACAGGUAAAAAAUGUUUACUUGAAAUAACGUGUUUUUUGGCUAUUGAUGAGAUUGAGCGGGCUUUUGUAUUGCUUAUUUACAAACAGCAGGUGGGUGCUGGUAGGUAAAUAAGUGGAGCUACUCUUCUGAUUAUACUGACGCCAACUGCACCAUCUUUUUUAUAAUCCCAUCACUCGAUUCCAUUUUAAUUCUUGUGCAAACUACAAAAGUAAAAUGUUACAUUUUUAUCAUUAAUAAUAUCCAAUUAUAACAUUUUCAUCCAUAAUAUUUAAUUUAGCCUCUACACUAUAAUUAAAAUAUUUAAUUUGGUCAUUUUAUACUAUUUUUAAUGAUAAUGUUUUUAAAAUUAUCAAAAAAAUCUUUAAAAAUUCAGAAAGUUAUUUGUUUAUUUUUGAAACUACAAAAAAUAUUUUUUUUAAAUGAUAAUAAUGUAAAAAUUAAAAAAAUCAUAAAAUCCUUUAAAAAAUAACAGGUUAGAUUUCAAAAAUUAUAAAAAUAUCAUAAAGUUCUUUAAAUUUCAUUUUGAGAUUUCGUUAUUUUAUUUUAAUUUGAAAUUAUAAAAAUUAUUUUUAAAACUAUAAUUAUGUUUUUUUAUUUUAAUUUCAUUAAAUUCUAAAAACAACCUUUCAAACCCUUUCUAAAAAAACCUUUCUCCUAUCAAGCCCAUCGCUGCCACUUGAACCACCAUGUCGGCAUCCUCUCCGGUCGAAAACAGGACCACCAUUCAAAAGUCGUCCUCUAUCGCUCCAACCACAGCGGACGCAUGAAAUGAAAAUAUACUUUUUUACAGUGACGGAGACCAGAAAAAAAAAAAAAACCAAACAACCACCUUGAGCCUCCAAAAUGGCAAGCCAUCACUGUUGCUUGAGGCCUUUCAGGUAAUUAUUAAUUUUUUAAAAUUCUGAUAUUGUCAAAUUUUAAAAGCUAAAAGUUUGGGUUAGGAAGUUUUGAGGAUCAAAUUGAUAAAAUUUGCAAAUGUAAAUGGUUAAGUUUAUUGAAUUAUUUAGAAUUAGGAUCAAAUUGAUAAAAUAUGUAAAUAUUAAAAACUAAAUGAGUUAUUGUACCAGUUAGAAAAAAGGCUUUCUGUUAUCAAUUUAACGGUGAGGGACCAAAACAAGAAUGAAUACAAAUGUUAGUGCCUAAAUUGAAAUUUUUUAAAGUUGGCCGACCAAUACAGAAGCACAAACAUUGUUGGGUGACCAUUUAUAUAGUUUACCCUAAUUAAUUUUUUGAAUUUUUAAAGAUUUUUAAAGAUUGUUAAAGAUUUUUUUUAUAUUUUUGAUAAUUUGUUUUUCAACAUUAUAGUUAAAAAAAGUUGUAAAAGGACUAAACUGAAUAAUUUAGCUAUAGUUCAGGGGUCAAAUUAGAUAUUAAUUGUUGAGUUAAUGAGCCACGCUGCUCUUCCAUUAAGGCUGUGAUGGUUGUUAAAGAAUGAGAAACAAAAAUGUUAUAAUUCAAUAAUGUUAGUGAUCAAAAUAUAAUUUUUCAUAGUUUAGUGGCAAAAAAGAAAUCUAAACAAAGUUUAGUGACAUUUUUGUAGUUUACCCUAGACCAGUCCAUGGAAUGGAUCGGGUUCGACCUGGGUCUUUACAAAAUUUUAGGCUUGUUUGAUAGGGCCCAAGUCGAAAAAUGGGCUUAAAAUUUUGCCUAAGCCCGGCCUAAACAAAAAUGUUAAAAUCUAAGCUCUGCCCGCCUGUAUUAAAUUUUUUAUAUUAUCUUUUUCAUAUAAAUUUUUUUUAAAAAAAAUAUAAUAUAUCAAAAACACUUAAAGUAUUAAAAUAAAUAUUUUCCAAUAAAUUGAAAAUAAAUUUUAAAAAAAAUCUUUAUACUUAAAUAACACUGACAUAGGUGCAACUUAACAAACAAAUGCCUCUAAAAUAGUAAUAAAAUUAAAAAUAAAAUAAGAGUUAUACAAUAUCUGAAUAAUAACAACAAAAUAGUAGCAACAUAAUAUUAAAAUGACAGCAAAACAACUAGAAAACAAUAUGAAAAUAGCAAGAAAACAAUAGACUUUUUUCUUUUUGUAAAUUCAGGUCGGGUCGGGUCGAGCCCGGGCCAAAAAGUCUUACUUGAGGUCCGACCCUUAUUUAAAUGAACCUUAUUUUUCCCAAGCCCAUUUUUCGGGCUUAUACUUUUGCCUAAUCCCUCCCACUUUUUGGAUGAUCCAACCAUGGACAGGUCUAGUUUACCCUUAAUUCACUUUAGUUUUGUGUUGGGUAAUUAAUUUUUUAGACAAAUUAUAAGGGUAAAAAUUUGAAAGUCAAAAUCUGUUUUAAGUUUCCUUGUAUAUUUUAAAUUUAAUCACAAUAUUUUUAUUUUUAGGAAUUAGCCCCUUUAAUUUUUGAACUUAAAAAUUGAAGUCCAAUUGUUAGCACCAUUAGGAUUUUUUUAAAUAAAUUCACUGGUGUGACAUAUCAAAAAUAAAAAAUGUUACUCAAUUGGUAGCUUGAAUCAAAAAAGAAGAAGACAUUAUAAUAGAUUUGAAUUUAACAGAGAAUUUUAACAGUACGGACAAUUCUUAAAAAAAUUACGUCUAUAUUUUAAUCAAAAUAAAGUAUUUAGACUAAUUAAUGAUAUUAAAUAAGUUGAAUUACAAAAUUAUGUAAAAAAAAGUUAUGGAGUCUCCCGGGGGUAAUACUAUAAUUGUUUGCUCAAAAAGUAUGCAAUUAAUGAUAUUAAAUAAGUUGAAUUCACUGGUGUGACAUAUCAAAAAUAAAAAAUGUUACUCAAUUGGUAGCUUGAAUCAAAAAAGAAGAAGACAUUACAAUAGAUUUGAAUUUAACAGAGAAUUUUAACAGUACGGACAAUUCUUAAAAAAAUUACGUCUAUAUUUUAAUCAAAAUAAAGUACUUAGACUAAUUAAUGAUAUUAAAUAAGUUGAAUUACAAAAUUAUGUAAAAAAAAGUUAUGGAGUCUCCUGGGGGUAAUACUAUAAUUGUUUGCUCAAGAAGUAUGCAAUUGGGUAAUACUAAAAUUAUUUGUUCAAGAAGUAUGCAAUUGAUAAGCUAGGAGAGCCCUUUUCUCAGAUGGUACAAGAAUUGAUGGUGCACAUAAACCAACUACAGGUAUGGCCGCUUGUGGAGGAGUUAUACAAGAUUGGAAUGGGAAAUGAAUUGUCGGAUUUUUUAGAUUCAUUGGUUCUUGUUUGGUAUCGGAAGAACUUUGAGGUGUUGUUGAAGGCCUUCGACUUGCCUGGUGGAAUGGACAAAGAAGAGUUAUUCUUGAAUUGGAAAAUAUUGACAUUGUUAAUAUGUUGACCAGCAGUUCUAAGGUUGGGGAGCAUAACUUGGGUCAAGAAGUUUGUACGUACAUGAAGAAAGUAUGGGAGGUAAUUAUACAACACGUUUACAGGGAAGGCAAUAAGCUUGCUAAUGGCUUAGCUUUGAUGGCUUGGAGUCAAUCAUUGCAAUGUUUUGUUUUUUACUUUCCACCUAAUGCGGUUUUUGAUUUACUAUAUGCUGAUGCUCAUGGUUCUGUAACACUAAGAAUAGUGUUUGCUUAAUAUUUGUUUUAUUUUCUCUUUGAUAAAAAAAAUUCAAAUUUGAGCAUGAUAUAAGUACUAAAAUUGAAAAUUAGUUGUAGUAAUAUAAUCUAGAAAAAGUAAAAGGACGUUUAGUUGGACAAGUAUAAUUCAACAUCAUAAUCAUGAUAAAACAUUUAGACUAAUAGAUUAAAUUUCAAAUUUGAGCAGAAUAUAGGAACCAAAGCUAAAAUUUGACCAUUAUUAUAUAAUUUAAAAAAAGAAGUAAAAAGGUUUUGUAUUUAAAAAUGUGUAUGCCAAUAUUUUAAUUAGAGUAAAAUAUUUAUACUAACUAUAACAUUAUAAAAGUUGAGAUACCAAAUUAUGUAAAAAAAAUUAAAGAUAUAAUUGCAAAAAAAAAAACCCUCAACGUUUGAGGGUUUUUGAUUUUGUGCCAUUGACUUUUUUUUAUUGAUACUCUCAACGUUAUGAUUUUUUCAGAAAUCAACCCGAUUUUAACGGUAAACGUGAGUUGACCGUCAGUCAAACACCGGUCAAUGAAGUAAGCCUAUGUGUAGAUGAGGUCAUCAUUUUUUUUUUCAUUUUGUUUCCAUGUCUUUAUUCUUCUCCCUUCCUCUCUUUCUUUCCCUAUAGCUACUGUUACGGUAAAAAAAGUUGCAAUUCCCUUUCAGUUUCAACUCCACCAUUUAACACUUCACUUUUUGAAAAGCUUCACUUACAAAGAAGAAAACCCCCCAAAACCAUAACACAUGCCACUCCAAAAGUGCUAUUUUCUACCACCAAUUUCAUAUUUCUUCAUUGUCGUUUUUUCCUUGCUCUUUGUUACGGCUUUUGGUUAUGGAUCACCAGGCUUGAUCUCGGCGGCUUUUGGAGAAAAUGAGUUCUUUUGUGCCAUUGAUGCUGGUGGGGAACAACAGAUCAUUUGUUGGGAUAAAACCAACAAGAUAUCUUUGGUUUCCACUUUCGAUUUUGUUCCUUCCAUGGCUUCUCUAUCUGGUGGUGAAGGAUUUCUCUGCGGCAUUAUUGCGAACAAUUCGCAAGCAUUUUGUUGGGAUUUAUUAGAUUUUGGUAUAAAUCUUGUUCCUAAAACUUUUAAAUAUAAUUCUUACUCCCAAAUUGAUGUUGGGAAAUUUCAUGUUUGUGCUAUCAAAGGGUCUUAUUUUUUAAGUUCUAAUGAUUUCGGUAAUGUGGAUUGCUGGGAACUUGAUUGAACACUUGGUAAAAUUAAUUUUACUACGAGUUCUUUUAGUGAUCAUUAUGUUAACAAUGUUAUUGUUAAGAACAUUGUUUAUAGGGAUGGUUUUAGUUGUGGGGUUGCUAAGGAAACUGAAACACUGAGAUCUUUUUUACAGUAACAACAACUACAGGGAAAGAAAGGGAGGAAGGGAGAAAAAGAACGAAGACGGAAACAAAAUGAUAAAAAAAAGAUGACAUCAUCUAUGACAUCACAUAGGUUUACUUCGUUGACCAACUUUUGACUGACAGUCAACUCACGUUUACUGUUAAAAUUGGACAGAUUUAUGAAAAAUCAUAACGUUGAAAGUGUCAAUAAAAAAAAGUCAAAGGCACAAAACCAAAAACCCCAAACGUUGAGGGUUUUUUUACAAUUAUGUCAAAUUUAAAUUAUAAAAAUUAAAUUUAAAAUUUGAACAUAUCAUAAGGAUUAAAACUCAACCAUUCUUAUAAAAGCUCAAAAAAAAAAAACUUUGUUUAUUUAUUCGAUAGAUUUCCUAAAAGGAAUACAUUAGACAUUCCUCUUUAUUUAUAUAUAUAUUUAUAUCAUUUUUAAUUAUUAUUGAAUUUUUAUUUUGUCAUUGUUAAAUUCUAUACCAAAGAGAAAUCUUGUAUUGAGAACAAAAGAAAUGACAAUUCAGAGAAAAACCUAUUUUAGCAAUAUCUGUACUACACUAUAUAUAGAAACCAUGCAGCUGAUAACUGCUCAUAACAACUAACAACUAUUUGCAACUAACAGCAACUGCCAACUGCCACUUAUACUUAACAGACUUCUAACUGAGGUUAAUUCCUAACUCAGCCAUACUCUAACAUUCUCCCCGUUUCUUUGUUGUUUGAACAUUUGAUAGCCUCAUUGAGUGUGAAAACUCGAAGUGCUUUGCGAAAUGAUUCAAACUGCUUGGGUGUAAUUGGCUUGGUAAGAACAUCUGCAAUCUGAUCUGAUGAUGGAACAAAGUUAACUUGUAGAGCUCCAGCAAUGAUCUUUUCUCGAAUAAAGUGAUGGUCAAUUUCUACGUGCUUCAUUCGUGCAUGAUGCGUGGGGUUUGCCGCUAUAGCCACUGUUGAUGUAUUGUCGCACCAGAUGACAGGUAUCGAUUGGGACAAAUCAAUUUCAUCAACCAGUUGCUUUAUCCACAAAAGCUCCGACACACAGUUGGCGAGACUUCUGUAUUCUGCCUCAGAAGACGACCUGGAGAUAACAUUUUGUUUCUUUGAGCACCAUGCAAUAGGGUUUGGCCGAGAUACACGACAUACCCCAUGGUGGAAUGACGAUCUUCAAUAGAUGAGGCCCAAUCAGCAUCUGAGUAGCCAACAACUUCAACAUUUCCUUUAGUGAAAAACAGACCAUGAUCACUAGUUCCAAUGAGAUACCUUAACAGACGUUUGACUGCUCUCUAGUGAUUCUCACUUGGACAAUUCAUAUGCUACCUUAAUUUGUUGACGCAGAAGGAUAAUUCUGGUCGAGUGAUGCACAGAUACUGGAGCAUCCCUACUACGCUUCGAUAUAGGGGCACAUCAGUGAAGGGAGGGCUAUUGUCUGAGGCAGUUAAUUUUGGAGCACCUACCAUUGGUGUAGGAACAACUGUAGCUCCUAUCAUACCAGUUUUAGAGAGAAUUUCUGACAUGUAUUUCUUCUGACUGAGCACUAUCCCUUGCGAUAUAUGUUGAACUUCAAUACCUAAGAAAAAGUCUAGCUGCCCUAUGUAUUUGAGAGCAAAUCUAUUAUGUAAUUGAUGAACCACACUAUCCACCUUAUCAUUCGAGCUCCCUGUUAUCACAAUAUCAUCCACAUAUACGAUAAGUAGCACCACGUUCCAUGAAGAAAUACGAAUAAACAAUGAAGUAUCAGCCUUUGAUGUCUUAAAACCAAGCUGAGUAACCAAACAUUGUUUAAGUGUAUGAAACCAUGCUCUAGGAGCUUGUCACAGGCCAUAAAGCGCUUUGUUUAGCUUACAAACAAGCUGCUCCCCAUUUUCACCGAACACCUCAAAACCAGGUGGCUGCUCCAUGUAGAUUUCUUCCAUCAAGUCACCGUUGAGGAAGGCGUUAUUGACAUCGACCUGCCUUAAGGACCACCCUUUCAUAACAGCAACAACCAGUAUGGUUCGAAUGGUUGCUGCACGGACCACUGGGCUGAAUGUGUCACAAAAAUCAACUCCUGCAUUCUGAGAGAAACCCUUGGCCACUAGCCGAGCUUUAUAUCUGUCUACUGUUCCAUCAGCCUUUUUCUUGACUUUAAAUAAUCACUUGCAACCCACUGCUCGACGAUUAACAGGGAGAGAGUAUAGAUGCCAAGUAUUGUUGUUAUGGAGUGCUUGUAGCUCAUUUCGCAUUGCUAUUUGCCACUGCUCAUUCUUCAUUACUUCAUGAAUGUCAUCAGGUGUAUCACUUGAUGAACAUGUAGUUGUGGUUAGAUAUGCCUUAGGUUUAAAUAUUCCUGCUUUGCUACGUGUUACCAUGGUAUGAGUGUUUGGUUGUGUAGUGGGUUGAGUAACAAUAGGAUGACACGUAGAAGGAGAUGGUAGUAUGGGUGCAACAGGUGGAUAUGAUUCAGAUGGAUGGGAUGGAAAAGUUGUUGGUUGAUAAGACAAGCUAGGUGGAACAUGUGGAGGAGAAGUAGAACUAGUAGGUUGAUAAGAUGAGCUAGGGGAGAUACUAUUACUAGGCACCAAAGAAAUAUUGGGGACUGUAGUUGAGUGGUGAGUAAUGGGGACCGAGGUAACAUGACCAGUAACUUGGAACUAAACUUUGACGAGUCAGUUGUGAUAGAUUCAGGUUUGGUUGACUCUUUUUUAAAAGGAAAUGUUGACUCACAAAAUGAAACAUGACGAGAAAUAUACACUUUGCCAUUAGAAUCUUAACACCGGUACCCCUUAUGUAGAGGUGAAUAGCCCAGAAAAGUACAGGAAAUGGAAUGAAACUGUAGCUUAUGAGUGUUGUAUGGUCGAAGGUUUGGGAAACAUAAACAUCCAAAAACUCGUAGGAAAGAAUAAUCUGGUGGGACUUGAAAUAAUUUUUCAUAAGGUGACAUAUUUCCUAUAGGAGAAGAAGGUAACCUGUUUAUCAAGUAUACGGAACUGCUGAAGGCAUCAUUCCAGUAGGACAAGGGCAUAGCAGCAUGAGCUAACAUGGAUAAGCCAACUUCCACGAUCUGUCUGUGCUUUCUCUCAACUAAUCCGUUCUGCUCAGAGCUAUAAGGACAUGAAACCCUCUGCUGAAUGCCUUGUUGAGAUAGAUAAUUCCUUAAGGCCUGAAACUCACCACCUCCAUCGGUCUGUAACGCAAGUAGUUUACACCCAAGAGAUCCUUCUGCUUGUUUAUGAAAUAGUGGAAAGACAUGUAGCACUUUAGAUUUUUGCUUUAAAAAAUAAAUCCACGUGUACCUAGUACAAGCAUCAGUAAAGGCUAUAUAGUAACGAUAACCGUUAGAUGAGAUUGGAGCAGGUCCCCAAACAUCUGCUAUUAUCAAUUGCAACGGUGUAGAAUAUACAGAUGUAGACUUAGAGAAAGGAAAUUUGCACUCUUUGCCUAAAUGACAGGCAACACAUGAAAAAGAGUCUGUAGACGAGCCAAAUUCUAUAUUACAAUGUUGUAAGGCCUUUUUAAGUGUCGCAUUACAUGGGUGUCCUAGCCUAGAGUGCCAUAGACUGAAAGGAAGGAGUUUUUGCAGCAGCACAGCAACGAGUCGAAGUAGAAAAAUCAACCGAUUGAGAUGAGCCAGGUAGGUUGAGCUUGUACACUCCGCCAUGCAUUGAACCCGUGAGCAGAAUCUCAUUGGUUUGAAGGUCGCGGACACAACACUAUGUAGGCGAAAACUCAAACAUUACGCUGUUAUCUUUAGUGAACUUAGAUACUGAUAAUAGAUUUUUGGUUAUCCCAGGCACACACAGCAGGGAUUUCAAGAACAAAGACCGUGAUCGAGUACGAAGAGACGACUGACCAGUUGCCUUGAUAGAAAGAGCAUGACCAUUACCCAUGUACACCUUACCUGAGCUAGUGUACGGUGUACUGUCACUCAGAGAAUUAGAGGAAUUGGUGAGGUGUUGAGAUGCGCCGGAGUCUGGGUACCAUGCAUUAUCACCCACAGUAUCAAGGGUAGUAAUAAGAGCCUAAGACUGUAUUGAGGAUGAUGACCCUGGAGCAGAUGAACUAAUAUGCUGCAUGGGAUUAACAGCAAACGGGUUAGUGCAUAGUUGAGUAGGCGUGGGAGGUGCAUACCAUUGCUGUUGAGGAUAGGUAUUCAUCCAAGGAUGUGGGGGAGCACCAUUGCUGACCAUACAAACAUUUGCCUGAGGAGGUGGCCUAUAACUCGUACUUUUAUAUGUGGUAUCAAAUCGGUAAUAACACGGAUCAACAAGAUGACCAGUCUUUCCACAUAAUUGACACUGAAAUCGUAAACCUGAAGAACGACCGUGCCCACGGCCACGAGCUCCUGACGAGGGUCGGUAAGCUGGUAGAGAAGAAUUAUUAUCAACAGAGCCAGUAGGCUGAUGUGUAAUCAUGUUGGUGGAACAAGGAGCAUCAGACACAAUUAGUUGCCGACGAGCUUCAGCAUCAAGCAACAUAGUAGAAACACUCUGAACACUGUAAGGAAUUGAACUCGCGGUGAUAAUUGUAAGUACUGACUCAUAUUCAGAUGAUAAGCCAUUAAGUAUGGCUGUAACAUGUUCUCUUUCACUGAUAGUCUCUCCACAACUAGCAAGGCUAUCACAGUAACCCUUAAUCUUCAUCAAGAACUCCUUCAUAGACAAAUCAGCCUUACGCUGAGAGUGUAACGCCCUUCUAUAGAACAUUAACUGAGACGUAGUUUUGCUACCAAACAACCUAACCAAAGCACUCCAAAUUUGAAGACUCGUGUCAAGACCAAUAAGCUAAGGAAAAACAGUAGCAAUCACCGAUGACAAGAACCAUGACGCAAGAGCACUAUCUUGCUGUUCAAAACGAGCAAACUCUGGAUUUUCUUGCCAGAUACCAUCAUCAUCAAGAAGAUACUGCGGAGGAGGAACAAAGUGAGAAUCAAGAAACUUCUGAAGCUUAAAUGUUUUUACUGCCAAUAGAACUUGCUGACGCCACAGUAAGUAGUUAUGAUCAUCAAGAAGCACGCUAAUCUUCUUGGUAGAGAAUAACCUACUAUCUACCACUUCAUCUGACAAAACGGACGACAUAGCCGGUGCAGCAGACUGAAUUGCAGAUGGACUGGAAGAAGAAGUCAUAAACAACUACCUCAGGAACGAUCCUACAUCUGAUACCAUGUUAAAUUCUAUACCAAAGAGAAAUCUUGUAUUGAGAACAAAAGAAAUGACAAUUCAGAGAAAAACCUAUUUUAGCAGUAUCUGUACUACACUAUAUAUAGAAACCAUGUAGCUGAUAACUGCUCAUAACAACUAACAACUAUUUGCAACUAACAGCAACUACCAACUGCCACUUAUACUUAACAGACUUCUAACUGAAGUUAAUUCCUAACUCAGCCAUACUCUAACAGUCAUAUGUCACAAUUAAUUAGUUGACAUCUUAUUAAUUUAAAUAUCAUCAUUGAUGGAUCCAUUUAACUAAAUAAAACUUUAAUAGAAUGUUAACUAAUAUUUUAAUAAAGGAAAUCAAAUGUUUUAAACGUAUGACAAAAAAAUGUUUAUUAUUUAAAUUUUAAAUAUUUCUACAUAUAUAUUUACUUUUAAUGUUGAUUGAAUAAUUGGAUAUAUAAUUAAUCUCAUAUAAUAAUGACUUUUUUUAGUAUAUAAGUCGUGUUGUUACACAUUAACAUUUUUAUUUGUUAUUAUGAAGUGAACCCAUUUUUGCUAUAAUUGUAGAUCACUUUUUCAUGUAUUUUCGUAACUAUGGUUGCGUCUUUAACUUUGGAAAUAAUUACUGAAUAUUUACCUAUAGUAUUAUAGCACCAAAAUGUAGUUUCUAAUUUUUAACUACAUUUUAUUUCAGUAAUUAUGGUUGUGUAAAUAUUUCAACGCUAAAAUAAAAUAUGCAAUAAUUACUAGACUAUAAAUUAUGAUAGAAAUAAAUAAAAUAAAAUAAAAUCAUAAUUUAUAUUUGCAAUAUAAAUAUGAUUAUUGAAUAAAAAACUGAUUUAAUAUAUAUUUUUUUAUAAAAUUUGAAUAUUUUAUUUUUUUUCCUUUUCAAUUUUAAAUAAAUUGUUAGUUUUAGUUUAAUUUAUUUAUCGCCUAUUUUGAUAUGUUUAAUGAAAAUUUCAAUUAUUAUUAAUGUUUUGUUUAAAAAUAGGUUGUGUUAAGGCAAGUUUUGGAGUAGCUUUCUAAGUGACACUUGGUAGUGGCUACUACUAUCAUCCUUAUAAUAAGAGUAGUAAAUUUGUCAUAUUUAGUGUUGACAAUUUAUUGAAAUAAAAUUUUGGUGAGUUAUGGACUGUGAUUCACUUAUUGCAUUAUGGAGUAAAGAUAGUGAAAUUACUCUUUGAGCUAAACUCUAUAGAUGUAGGAAACCGGACUAUGUAAACAAAUCUUUGUGCUUUUCAUUUAUUCUAUAUACAUUGUUUCCGCAAUGCUAGUUGAAGUAACCAUUGAAGUCAAGCACUUCCAUUCACCUUAGAUUGUACUAGUAAUUAACGACUUGAGGUUCCAACAAUUGGUAUCAGAGUUUAACACUUAAAGUAAUUAUUGGUUACUCCUGAUGUUGUUGAUUGCUAUCAAUGGAAGGAUCUUCGACUACUCAUCCCCCUAUGUUGGAAAGUGGUAAUUAUCUCUACUAGAAGGCUAGAAUGAAAGUCUAUAUUACGUCAAUUGAUGAAAGGGCCAGAUGUUCUGUGCUUACUGGUUGGCAAACUUCCAUGAUUGAUUCUAAAGCUGGGAGAGUCCUUAAAUCUAAACUUUGAUGGACUAUUGAAGAAGAAGUGUUACUAAUGCCAAUUCCAAAGCCCAUAUGUCAAAUUUUGUAGUGUUAACCUACAUGAAUUCAAAAGAAUUUCCAAGUGUACAAUUGCGAAGGGAGCAUGAGAUAUUCUUUAUAUUGCCUAUGAAAGGACAAAUAUAGUCCAGCAAUCCAAGCUGCAAAUGUUGACCACCAAAAUUAAGGCAUUGAGAAUGAAUGAUUCUAAAAUCAUUGGUGAAUUAUAUGCCGAGUUGUGUGACCUGUUUAACCAAGCGUUUGCUCUCAGUGAGGAAGAUUCCAAAACUAAGCUUAUUAGAAAGGUCCUAAGAUAUCCACCUGAAAGGUUUUCAAUCAAAGUAAUUGCUAUUGAAGAGGCUAGAGAUCUAAAAGGUUUUGAAAUUCACAUUUAAAAUUUUUUUCCCAAGAAACACAUGAAGGAAUUAUGUUUGUACAUAUGGGUAUCCAACUGAGCACCAAACAAUUAAUGAAUAGAGUGCUAAGUGCUCCUUUAAUGGUAGCAAUACUCUAGUGUCACGGACUUAGAUUUUUCCCACGUGAUCCGUGCGGUCUUAGGCAGUUUCUUUGCUCCAAAAACACCUAAGUCAGCCUAACUCGCAACAAUAAAGGAUUCAAUAGAAUUCUCUCAAGGCACCCACGAAGAACAGCAGAAGAACAAAGUAAGAACAAACGUUGAAAGAUGAACAAAAGCCACAGAAAAGCAGGAACACUUUGGGAGAAAAGUUUGAGUGAAUACUCUCAAGAUUCUUAUUGGUAACUCAAUGAAAUACAAUGAGCAAAGAGGUCUCUAUUUAUAGUUGAGCCUCCCUAAAAUCAAUGGUGUAGAUUAAAGUACAUCAAUGGCUACAAUUAAAAGCUGUAUACAAUUAAAACUCCAAGAUUACAUAAUCUUAUCUUCUCGAAUCAUAUAUCUUUGAAGAUUAUCUUCCAUAUUUAUCGGGCUCUAGAGAUGGGCUUUUAAUCUCUCCAAGCAACGGACCAGUUUAAUUGGGCCAAAUGACCUCCCUCAAAUACGAUGGAUCGUACAAGUUUGUCAUGGUUGCGUUCUCCCAUGCGCAACCCAUAAUAUUCUCCCCCACUUGUUCUAGCGACACCCUCGUCGUAUCCUCCUUAUGGAACUGGUCAAUCUUCCCUGGGAACUGCCACAAUGCCUCUGCAGGUUCCCAACUUGCUUCGCUAUCAGGAAGUCCCUUUCAUCGAACUAAGUAUUCAUGCCGUGGUCGGUGGUACUUUCGUCUAAUUACUUGAUCUGCCUCAAUAUUUUUGACUUCACGAUCGUACGACACCUUUACCCCCAUCGGUGCUCGUUCAUACUUGCCUCGAUUCGGAUGUUCUUGAUCCCCAUGAAAUGGCUUAAGCAUGCUUACAUGGAAUACCGUGUGGGCUUUAAGUUUUCCUGGCAACUCUAGCUUGUAGGCCACCUUGCCUACUCUCUUCACAACUUUAAACAGCCCAUCAUACCUUUGCACAAGCCCCUUGUGCAAGCCAGUAUAUCGCAAAAUCAAGUGUAAUUUAGCAAGGAUUGAGUCACCCACUUGAAAUUGCACGUCCCUUCGGUUCUGAUCGGUCCACUUCUUGUUACGCUUACUUGCCUUGUGUAAACAAGCUCUAGCCAGGUCAUUUUUCUCUUGCCAAUCUUUUGCGAAUCGAUAGGCUGCCGGGUUUGGUUCUGUAUAAUAGGUCAUAACAGCGUUGGGUGUGAGUGGCUAUUGACCCGUCACUAUUUCAAAUGGAAUUUGAUUCGUGCCCCCACUUCGCUGCAAGUUGUAUGAAAAUUGGGCCACAUCCAACAAUUUUGGCCAAUCCCUUUGUGUGGCACUCACGUAGUGUUGAAGAUAUGUCUCUAACAAUGCAUUUACUCGUUCAGUUUGCCCAUCAGUUUGUGGAUGUAUGCUCGUGGAGAAGUUCAAACCUGAGCCAUUGACUUGAACAAUUCCGUCCAGAACCGGCCCAUAAAUUGCCCAUCUCAAUCACUGAUAAUAGACAGUGGCACUCCUAAUAUUUCACCACGUGUAUAAGGAAAAUCCGAGCUGCUUCCUCGGCAGGACACUCCUUGGUUGCCGGAAUACAUGUCGCAUACUUUGAAAACCUAUCCACCACAACAAGAAUAAUCGCAAACCCGUCAGAAUUAGGCAAACCAAUAAUAAAAUCCAUGGAUAAACUCUCCCAUGACCUUUCCGAAACUGGCAAGGGUUGAAGCAAACCGGUUGGAGUCUUUAACUCGACCUUGUCUUGUUGGCACACUAGACAAGUUUUCACAUAGGUUUCCACAUCAACACCUAUGUGAGGCCAAUAAUAACGAUCCUCCAAAAGGGCCAAAGUGCGAUGCAUCCUUGGAUGGCCCGCCCAUUUCGAGUCAUGACACUCCUUCAUGACUUCCUUACGUAGCUUCCCAUAAUGAGGCACAUAAAUGCGGUGUCCAUGAGUGUAUAACAGCUCCCCAUCAAGCCAAAAUCUUCUUGUUUUUCCCUCCAUGGCAAGCUCAAUCAAAUUUUUGGCUGUGGGAUUAUGGGACAAUCCCUCUCGAAUGCUUUCCAAUAAAGAAUCAUCAGGUUGGCUAAUUGCUGCGAAUUCCAUCUUUCGACUGAGUGCAUCAGCCACAAUGUUGGCACUUCCUGGUUUAUACUCCAUUGUGAAAUCAAACUCCGCUAGUAAAACCUGCCAACGAGCCUGCAAUGGGAGACAACUUUUUCUGGGUUAGAAAAUAACUAUGCGCAACAUUAUCCGUAAGGACCACGAACCUGGAACCCAAUAGAUAAUGUCUAUAAGUGCGCAAGCAGUGUACUAUCGCAAUUAUCUUCUUCUCUUGGACCGUAUAUCUUCGCUCUGUCUCAUUAAGUUUUCGACUCUCAAAAGCAAUUGGGUGCCCAUCUUGCAUCAGUACUCUCCCAAUAGCAUAAUCUGAUACAUCCGUGCGUACCUCGUAAGGCUUCGAAAAAUCCGGUAAGGCAAGUACGGGUUCCCUCUUCAUUUCUUGAUUCAAUUGAUUAAAGGCCUUCUCACAUUCCAGAUUCCAAUCCCAUACCUUCCCCUUUUUCAACAUGUCCGUCAAGGGUGUGGUAAUUCUAGAGUAGCCUUCGACAAAGUGUCGAUAGUAAUUUGCCAACCCAAGGAAAGAUCUCAACUUCGUUACCUUGUUUGGAGGCUCCCACUCGGAAAUGGCUCGAACCUUGCUCUUAUCCAUUCGGAUCUUACCACCUCCCACAAUAUGGCCUAGGAAUGACACCUUUUGUUGGGCAAAUGAGCACUUCUCCUCCUUGAUGAACAACUCAUUUUCCCUUAAAGUUUGGAACACCUCCCUCAAGUGUCCCAUGUGCUCCUCAAGAGACUUGCUAUACACCACAAUAUCAUUAAGGUAAACAACCACAAAAUGAUCAAGAAAAGGUUCAAGUACCUUUUUCAUUAGGGUGCAGGAUGUAGCUGGGGCAUUCGUGAGUCCGAAAGGUAUUACAAGGAACUCAUACGAACUGUACCGUGUCACACAAGCUGUCUUUGGCUCAUCCCCCUCGGGUAUCUGAACUUGUUGGUACCCCGAUCUCAGAUCUAACUUGGUAAACCAUCUUGCACUACCAAGCUGAUCGAACAAAUCUGCAAUAAGAGGAAUAGGGUACCUAUUCUUCACAGUAAUCUUGUUUAGAGCUCGAUAAUCGAUGCACAUUCUCAAGAACCCAUCAUGUUUCUUUUGAAACAACACUGGCGCACCGUAUGGAGAUUUAAAUGGUCUAAUGAAUCCCGCAUCCAAAAGUUCCUUCAAUUGUUUCCGCAACUCUUCUAAUUCUGGUGGAGACAUACGAUAGGGAGCCCUUGCUGGCGGCAUCACAUUGGACACUAACUCGAUUUUUUGGUCUACCUCUCUCUUGGGUGGCAAGCUUUUAGGCAACUGAGCAGACAUUACAUCUCGAAAUGAUUGUAACAAUUGACCCACUUCUUUCGAGGUCUCACUUGCAGACUCAGCGGUCUCUUCGAUCUUCAAGGUGGCUAAAUAUGAGACUUCAUUUCUACGUACUCCUUUAGCAAACUGAAUUGCUGACAGUGUUUUUCCCUCAAAGCUUCUUUUCCUUGUCACUUUCACCAUGCAUUGAUGUUUUGUGUCUGAAAUCACCAUGUAAUUGCUCGAAGGGGCAAUAAGAACAUUAACAUGAUCAAGGAAACUUAGUACAACCACAAAAUCAUAAUCAUCAAGUGGUAUUACCUUAAUGGAUACCUUCCCGGACCAUUCGCCUAGCUGAAGAUCCACUCCCUUUGCAACCCCCUUGAUUGGAACACUUUUUGAGUUCACUGUUUUGAUCCGACCCACUUCAUAAUCUAUCUUGAAGCCUAGUUUACAAGCAGCCUCCUCGGACAUGAACAAAUCAGAAGCGCCUAUGUCAACGAGCGCAUUCAAUUUUCUGUCAGCCACAAUGAUGUCUACAAACAUCAAACCAUGACUCAUUCUAUCUUCGGCAUCCCCUAGUAUUGAACCAAGAUUGUUAUCCUCCACAUCAGACUCCUCCUUUACUUCCUUAGCCUUGAGAGCAGCCUUCUUUGGGCAGUCCUUGAUCAUAUGUGGACCAUCACAGUGAAAGCAACUUAUAGGCCCACUCUUUCUCUUGUCCCAAGGCUUCUUACCAUUGCCAUUCCUAGUGGGCCUUUCUUUAUCUCCCCCACUAUUACCCUUUUGAUUAAAUCUGGGCUUAGAAGAAUUGGUAUUGUCUUUCUUCCCACCAAAUUCAGCAAGCGAUUCUGCUACGGACGUAGCCUUGGUAAGUUCUUGAACUCCUCGGCGUUGCAACUCUUGCUUCACCCACAGUUUUAAUCCGUCCAUGAAGGAAAAGAAUGCCUCUUUCUUCCCCAUAUCUGAGAUUUGGAGCUUAAGUUCGCUAAACUCCUGCGCAUACUCCCUCACAGUGCCUUAUUGCGCAAGCCGACGUAACUUUGCCCGAGCCUCAUCCUCGGCAUACUCUGGGUAAAACUGUGCUUUGAACUCAUAUCGAAACUCAUCACAAGUUCUGAUUUCGGUCCCACUACGUCUCACAUCAGUGGACCUACGACGCCACCACAACAAAGCAAUGUCAGAUAAAUACAUCGCAGCAAUAGUUACCUUAGUGACAUCCUCCGUGAUGCCUUUGGCACAGAAGUAUUGCUCGAUUCCCCACAAAAAGUUGUCCACAUCUCUUGCGGACCUUGUUCCCUUGAACUCCUUGGGCUUGGGAACAUCAAUAUUGGGCUUGGGUGCGAUAGCAGCUAACCUACCAUUACCCAAAGCAACCUUAUAGAUUGUGAGUUCACCCUUGAGCUCCGCAAUCUCCCCUUUCAAGGCCGUCACCAUAGCCUCAAUGGCAUCAUCUCUACCAGUCAACUGUUCCACAUUGUCCAACACAUACACUUUGAGCUGCUCCUACAUGGACUGCAAUCCAUCAUGUAGCCUAUCAUCGACAUCAUCAAUCCUCUCCUUGAUAUCCCCCACGGAAUUCUCGAGAGUGACGACACGAUCCUCUAAAGCUGACAAUAUGUCCCUCGAGCGGCUAGCUUUCCUAGCCCUCCCACGGGUCUCCAUUCCCUCAACAUUCCCAGCAACUUCUUUCGACAUCUUUCAACGGUGGCUUUGAAUAUUAGCUCUGAUACUAACUGUCACAGACUUAGAUUUUUCCUACGCAAUCCGUGCGGCCUUAGGUAGUUUCUUUACUCCAAAAACGCCUAAGUCAGCCUAACUCGCAACAAUAAAUGAUUCAAUAGAAUUCCCUCAAGGCACCCACAAAGAAUAGCAGAAGAACGAAGUAAGAACAAACGUUGAAAGAUGAACAAAAGCCACAGAAAAGCAAGAGCACUUUGAGAGAAAAGUUUGAGUGAAUACUCUAAAGAUUCUUAUUGAUAACUCAAUGAAAUACAAUGAGCAAAGAGGUCUCUAUUUAUAUUUGAGCCUCCCUAAAAUCAACGGUGUAGAUUAAAGUACAUCAAUGGCUACAAUUAAAAGCUAUAUACAAUUAAAACUCUAAGAUUACAUAAUCUUAUCUUCUCGAAUCAUAUAUCUUUGAAGAUUAUCUUCCAUAUUUAUCUGGCUCUGGAGAUGGGUUUUUAAUCUCUCCAAGCAACGGACCAGUUUGAUUGGGCCAAAUGACCUCCCUCAAAUACGAUGGAUUGCACAAGUUUGUCAUGGUUGCGUGCUCCCAUGCGCAACCCAUGACAUUAGUGCAUGGUUAUCACAACUUAGUCGACCUCACACCAAAUAUGCAAAGUUCAACGAUAACAAUAUUCCUAUACAAUUAAGGUAAUUCACACAAUGAAAUAACUAAACAAUAUGGGGACCCCUAUACUCUACGACAUGUUGAUUAUAUCUAAAAAACUCCAAAACAGUUUACCGUGUAGUCCAAUAAUGUUAAAAGUAAUUAAUAAGCAUAAUUAAAACCAUUAAAAUUAGUUGAUGAAUUAAAGUUGACAAUACCAUGCAUUUAGUUUAACUACAAUAUAAGGUAAAAUAAAAUAUAGAGAUCACAAAUCGAACCUUCGUGUUAGAACACUCCACAACCUUUAGCAUGCGAAUUAACUACUCAUUAAUCUUAAAGAUUAUUAUUUAUAUUUAAUCAAAAUUUUAUUAUGCAUGCAAUGCAGCAAAUUCAGUUGACUAAGUAUUCGACCAAGAACAAUUGAAGCAACAAAUAUUUAGAUGAAUGAAAGCCAAUUGCGGCAUAUCGUGAUAUCAAAUGUUGAUCGAAAUAGUAGUGGCCUUAUGAAGCAAAUUGGUGGAAUAACAUUGCCAACUUUAAAGUACCAAAAAUUGAACAUUGAUAGUAGCAACAGUACAGGGGGUUGAUACUGAUUUGGUCCCUCUGGUUUCAUCUCAACCUAUACUGCUGGAAGGCUGCGCAAGUGCCGUCUGAACAGAUCGUGACCUUUGUGAAUGAGUUUUGGCGCGCUUGGGAGGAUGCUGGCCAAGUGUACGCAGUUGCUGGGAGGCGAGAGUUGGGUGGCCGACGAGAUAGUGUAUACUCUUGGGCGGCUCCAACAUCGGGGGUGGUUGAAAUGCAAUAUAGAUGCCUCUCACUCUGUUGUGGAUGAAUCGAUUGGUUUUGCGGCGGUUGUUCGAGAUUUGUAUGGGCAUGUGAUUCGAGGCUUCAUUGGGUGGAUGGAAGGUUUGGUUAAGCCUUUGCUGGCCGAGGCAAUAGCUAUUUGGGAGUCCCUCUCUUGGCUUAAGACAUUAUACAUGGAUAGGGUAGUUGUUGAAUCAGAUUGUUUGAGGAUUAUUGAAGCACUACCCAUCUCUCACAAUAUUGACAGUGAGUUUGGUAGGAUACUGCACGGUUGCUCACAGUUACGAUCAUCAUUUGGAUUUUUGUCCUUUUGUUGGACUUAUCGAGAUGCCAAUAAGGUGACUCACACUUUAGCUAGAGUGGCCCUUUUACAUGCAAAACAUCCAAUUAAUGUUCAGUCUAUCAUAUCUUCUGAUUUUACUUCACUUGUGCAUCAUGAAACUGAGGGACUUAGGACAGGGUAUAUGGGAUAAGCCUAUUGGCUUGGGUUAGUUUGUCCCUCUUCUUGUUCUUUUGUUAUGAUUAAUGAAUUAUGGUUUUGCUUUAAAAAAAAUAGUAGCAAUUAUAAUGGGGAUGAAACAAUGCUAAUUGAAAAAUUACAGCAACAAUUUAAAGCACUUCUGGCAACAUAUUUGAGAAACAAGCAGCUGCUUAAUUGGCAGCUAUAAUAGGGCAACACAAGGAGCAAUAAUUGAAAAUUUAAAGCUGAUGGCAGCCGUCACUUGGGAGCAUUUUGGUAGGUACUAAGCAACAGCUUAUUGGAAGAAUUUAACACCAUAAUUUAGGCAGCAAAGGGAAUGGUGCAACAAGGACAAAUUGAGGCAAAUGACGGCAAAUCUCUAGCAUCUAAGUGGUAAGCAAUCGGCUGCACAUUAAUAGAGAAACAAACGAUGUAAAGGGGGAUAAUUAAGCAGCAAAGUCUAAUUGAAAACCAUAAUGAACUGCAGAACAACUAAUUAUCAAUCAGCAAUAGCAACAGAUUUUUGAAUAGCAAUUUGCACCUCAUACACGACAACCCAGCAAAUAAUUUUAAGAAGAAAAAAAAUCAGCAAGGGACUUGUAUGGAUGGAUGAAAGCAGUCAAAAAUUGAGCAAAAAGAAUGCGGUAAGCAGUCAAACAAUAAGGGUGUAAUUGGGGGCAAACAAAUGACAAUUAAAGAAUGAAAUUGAAGGGCUGAUUGUGGAAAGCAAAUGGAUAAAUUCUACAGCGAUUUUAUUUCAACUAAUUGAACCACAAAAAAUUUGAGGAAAACUAAAAGUAAUUGAAAGUAGCUAACUUAAUUGAGGCAAGCGGUGAUGACAAUUUCAAGCAAAUAAUAGAAUCUUUUUUAAGGCAAUCAAUGGAGCCAAGCAAAUUGGAAUGAUAAUGGAGUCAUCAUCUUAGCAAGCAACUUGGUAACAAUAAACCAAAGAAGGAAAAUCAACUUGAGUUGUGAUUAUAAUAGAUUAAUGCUUGAAUUUAAGAAGAAAAACAAUGUCUAGUAGAACAUGCAAAAACUGAUUCAUUCAUGUAAAAACCUUAGUUUUUCCUAUUUAAAAUUUUUAGUUUAUUAGCUUCAUAAAAUCCCCUUAAUUCAUCCCAUGUUCAAUUAAGUCCUCAAGCUUAAACUUCAAAACUCUCCUUCAAUUCAAUCCUUGACCCAAAUUAAUUCUGAUAAAGAACUUUAACUCUGAAAAUAAUUUCUUUUGAUAUAAUUAUAAAUCUUAGUUUACAAUUAAUUCUCAGUAAACCUCAUGUCCUAAAAGUUAAUCCUCUAUUCCGGAAGGCCCCUUGCCAUGUCAGGGAUCAUACAGGAGAUCAUCCCAGAAGCUCGUCUGCUAAUCCUCAAGGGACCAUCUUAGAGAUCGUCUCGAACACCCACCAUCUAGCCAAGAUCGUCUCGAAAGUUGGCCCACAUGUAGACCUCUCGACAAGUACUAAGAUCAUCCGACCAGAAACGAUCUCUGACACCGUCCAAGGGACAUUCUUGAGGCUGAUCCUAACCGUUCUGUUGCUACAUCCGUCACAUCAGUGACAUUUUGUCAUCAAUCGCUCGUCUUAUCGGCAUCACCCGCUUUUGAGAACCGUUGCUCUAAAUGUUGUGGCCCGAGAAGUGUUCUACCCUCAACGAUUUUAGUUAGAAAAUAUUGAAGAUAACAUCAAUGCGGAUUCGAAUUUGUGGUUUCUGCUACGAUUGCGAAGGGUCGGUUUGUAUUUGGGGCAAGGAAUGAUUUCAGUUGAUUUGGAUUAUCAUGAAACCAAAGUAGGGCGAAUUGUUAUGGAGCUGUUAUUUGUGUGUUAUAUUGAAGAUUUUACAAUUAGGCAGUUAUGAUUCUAUUUUUCUGGGCUUGGAUUUGGUGGUUUUUCAUUGGCUAUGCUGAAUAUGGAGGGUGGAUAUGUUGCAUUUGCCUAGGUUUCUUCUUCCUUGGAAAACCUGCUCUCUAGUACUGACGGUUUUCUUCAUCUUGAACUCCUGUCUAAGUGACUUGGAUUUUUUAUAAGAAUUUUUAUUGACUAAAAUUUUGGUACUUUUUAUUGGCAUAUAACACUCACAUCCCUAACUGAAUAUUAGGGACGAAAAAGAAAUUCAAAUUACAUCUGCAACACCACUUUCUCAAUCAAACCCCAAAGGUUUUCAAUUUUGACAAUAAAAUGUAAAGAAUAUUUAAUCCCGAAGAAGAGAAAGAACUGAGAAGAUCAAUGAAGAGCAGAGGACGAAGCAUGAGGCUCGGAGGAAAGACCCAGCUCCAGUUUCAAUCAAUGGCGACGGAGAAGGUGACGGUGCCAGUUCGGUAUCUAGCGCCGUCACAACACUCGAUGAGAGAAGCGCCACCGCAAAGAAAACGUACAAGAACGCGCUGAUGAUGCUAAGGUGCGCCAUUCUUGAUAAGAAUAUUUUCCAAGAAACCAAAUAAGGAGAGAAUUUGGAGAUUUUGAGUGGGAAGAGAGAGUAAAGAUUCGUUAUAUUUAUAGGCGUCCCUGAUAUUGAUUUUCAGGAAUAAAAAUGAUGGUCCCAGAGUUACGGUGACGUUUAAAUAUUUUGGUAGGAAGCUAGUUUGGUGAACCGUUGAUUAAUCAAAUGAAGAUUGGAAGCAUCUGAGUUGCCUGACGUAAAGCAAAUUG
rnacentral:lncRNA from 1 species